AAAAAAAAAAAAGAAACUGUAGUAAUUAAAACUCAUAUAGUGAGGCAUUGAGCAUUGAGUUAAAUUGCAAAAUAAAGACUAAGUUCACCGUAUGUGGAAAGGUGAUAUAUAUGUGUUGUUAUAUCUGCACAAGUAAAUGGAAAACUUGUUAAGAUACAAUUAAGAGCAUGGAUUUAAUUGCUAUAUUAUUGUUCUUAUUUUCCAAAAAGUAGUUUCUUUUUUAAAUGGUUUAUAAAUUUAAAUUAAAAACCAAAUUGGAUGUUGUAGAAAAAAUACAAAUCAAAAUAAUUCCUAUGUAAGAGCUGAAUGAUGCGAGCUAAUUACAUUCAUAAACAUAAACCUAAAGACAAAAUUAAAAUUAUUAGUGUUCAUGGUUGGAACUUGUAUGCGUUUGUUGUUGUGGCUCGUGACUUGAUUUUCAAUUUACUUUUUUUUUUUUUGUUCUGUCUCACUUUUCAAGUUGACAUGCUUAAGAGAUUGUCUCAUCAACGUGGCAAGCCUACUUCACUCUAAUACUCAAGCUAUAUAGUAUAGGAAGUAUAUGGUUUAACAAUGCACAUAAAAAGAAAGGUUAGAGCUCUCAUUUGAAGAUUACUUAAUUCCUUCCUUUUGGAGUCGUUGAAUGGGGCUAUUUAUUGGUCUUUCCUCUUAAAAUCGUCUUUGAUUACCUAAAACACUUAUGAUAUCAAGCUUAUUUUUUAUACUCAAUGUUGCACAGUGCGAGACAAAGCACUGAGCACAUUCGAUUAUUUUUCAAUUGGUAUAGGUUUUACUGGCUCAGUUGGUCAACCAAAACCUUGAGGCCAAUAUUCCCAUAUGCUUCUUUAUGGUACCUCUAUAUAGGCAUUAGAUUUGUUGUAGGAUUUAGGCUCUGUCGUGGGUAACACUUAGCAAAUUAGUUCAUUUCUUCGUUUUUUUAGUAAACAAUAAUAGAAGUGAUGAACAAAUAAAGUUAAACGAUCAUGAUAAUUAGAGUUAAGAGAAUGACCAAUGAUGAUUGAUGAUUCAAAAAUCAAAUUGAAAAAUAGAUGUCUUACAACGUGAAAAGUCAACCCAUGAGUAACUGAUUCACAUUGUAUGAUUAACAUGGAAGAAUUCAUAACUUGAAUCACGAUGCAUCAAAUUACGAAAGGAAAAUAUUAAUAGUUUCUAAAUUAUAAUGAAAUUUGUUUUAUAGCUUUCGAAAUGUUUACAUGGAUAACAAUCUCCACAGUGAACAAAUACAACUUCUCCAACUAAGAAUCUAUCAACAGUUGCAAUUAUAACAAUUAAAUUUAAAAAAAAAAUAACAUAUACAUGACAACAUUUAAUUUUUUUUAAUAAAUAUAUAUCAAUUAUAAAGUUUAUCAUUACUAUACACUUGAUUAUUAUUAUCCCUAAAACUACUACGAAGUAUAAUUAUCCAAUAUCACAAAAGUAAAAGUUGCAUCAAAGAGACCAACCACUAACAUAGUCAAUAGAACUUAGAGCAUAAGUUGGUUGAUAGCGAGAGAUAUCUUAGAAAGUACAGAGAUAGAUUAGAGUUCUCUAUACAAUAAUAAUAUCACAUUUACUUAAUAUAUUUAUAAAUAUUCUACAAAAGUUUCAUACUUUGUUACUAUAUUUUGAAAAAAAGAAAACAAAGAAUUAAUCCUUAUAUAUAAUUUAUAAUUAUUAUUUAGUCCUUAGAAUUUGAUAAGAAGUCGGAGAUAAUCAAUUUUAUCACACUAAGAGGACUCUUUAUGAACUUUUAUAUUAAAUUCUAAUAAACAUGAUAACUCCUUAUUAAAAUCUAUUACUAAUAAGAGUUUUUUUUUUAAAAAAAAAACUUUGAAAGUAGAAAAACAAGAAAUAUAAACUCUAUCCCAUGGAAAUCUCUGGUUUAUAUUUUAUAUUUCAAAUACACUGUAGAAAUAUUAGAUUAUAUUUUUUCUCAGCUCCUAAUGUAUACACAAAUAUAGGUGAAAUAUUAACAGUUUAAUAUUAGCUAUGGAGAAAUAAGAAAUAUGAAACAAACUCAUUUAUGUCUUUUUUUUUUUAAUAUAAAAGAAAAGAGAAAAAGAAACAAAAUAUUAUGGCAAAAUGCAAAUUUAAUUUUUCAAAAGAAAUCACAAGAAACAAAAUAUCUUUUAAUGUAGAUUAUAAAAAUUUAAAAUGACAAUAUUUUGUAAAAUAAAUACAAAUCCAAAGUUUGAUAAAAUUUGUAAUUUGAUAAGAUUAGAUUAGAGAGUAGUAAAGAACAAAAAUAGAAGUUAUAGGGACUAAUUUUGUAAUUAAGGAAUAGUGAAAAUUAAAAAAGAAAAAAAGGAAAAAGAAAUGAAAGAAAAGGGAGGGGUAGGACAGGAAAGAUACCAACUGUUAGAGGAGUUGGAGCAAAAUUUGGAAUGUUUUGAAUAAUAGUCAUUAAAAAUAUAAAUGACUGAGUCGACUCGUUGCGAGUUUAACCGAGUCUAUAAUAAAAAAUCCGAGUGAAAAUGGAGACGAGUUACGAUGAGUCACGAUGGGCCACCCUCUUCCAUCGGCUGGUUCAACUUUUAGGUCAAGUUGAGUUUUCUUUUCGCUUUUCCCUUUUAAUUCUUUUUUUUUUUUUUUUUAGUUUUUAAUUUUAAUUAUUAAUUCGAAGAAACGGAAUUUGACUGCGAGAAGAAGAAUCAGUGGAAGAAGGGCAAGUAGAUCUGAAACUUCAUACAUACGCCGGAGAUUGGGGGAGAAAAAUCCGGGGACGGUCGGCGAUUGUUUCUCGAUUUCAACCAUACCAAAAAAAUAAUUAAAAAAAAAAAAUAAACAGAACAGAACAGAAGCGGAGAUUUUUUUUUUUUUUUUUUUUGGAAUCGUUAUGCUGAAUGACUGAUUUUUCAGCUUUCCGAACGGGCGGUUUCAAAAGGAAAAUGCCGCGCCCUCAUUUUCAUAAGCUUGUUCUCACCUCAACUAUCCAAGCUAGGAAAUUGGUACUCUUUUGAUCCUUUUUUUUUUUUCUUUUUCUUUUUUUGUUUUCUGGGUUUUGCUUCUUUUGCUUGAUUAUCGAGAAGAAUCGGGCUAAACUUCGGUUCUGUCUUUCUUUUUUCUUUUAGACUUCAUCUACUAUUGCUUCUUCUGUAUCUUCUGCUGAGUUCUUUUGCUCUAGCAACGAAUUUUCUUAUGGAUUAAAGCUAAAACCCUGAGUUUUAUGUUCGUUUUAAUCAAGGAAUAAGGAAAGUUUUAUUGGGCUAUACUCGAAUUUCUUGAUGAUUUACUUACUUCUCUGUUUUUUAGUUUUGGUUAAUCGAAGAAGUUGUUUAGUCGUACUAGGUCAGACUCCAAAAUUUUCAUUUCAUUGUCUAUCAGUCUGCUACCGCUAUAUACGACUAUUAUUAUUGAAUUUGGAGCUGAACCCUUCAUUAUUUUACCCUGUUAAUCAUGUUUCUAAAGUAUCUUUCUGUUAGUAAAUAAACAUGAAAUUGAUGAAGUUAUCUCCUGGGCUGGAAAUAGUUUUUUUUUUUUUUUUUUUUUUUUUUGCGUUUGUUUUGUGUUGCAUUGGUUAUGCUUUCAAAAGGGUUUCCUUUUCAGUUGCAUGAUUAGGCAGGAUGUGUUUCCAUCAGCUACAAAUCAAUUGGCAGUAAAAUCCCAGUUUUCUGUGGGCUUGUUUUAACUCAACAUUCUCAAUUUUUGAUUCGUGCCCUUCAAGUUCUUGCUUCUCAGCUUUUAGUGAUAGCUUUUUGGGUUUGUUCUAAUUUGAUGUACAUAAUAUAGCUAUAUCAUAGACGAUAAUUGUGUAAACAAAAUAUUUUCAUUCCUCUUUCACUGAUUUGUUUGAUCUUUUUGAGAUUUUCAAUUGAAAUGCUUGGUUCUCUUAGAAGAAUCUUCAAGUAUAAUGACUAUUCUUUCAUCCCUAAGCUUUGAAUAUCAUUAGAUAAUAAAUCAAAUAGGAUUUUGUUUUCAUAUACAGAUACUCUCUUGAAAUAUCUUGUCAACUGUUAAUUGUCGAGUAUAUGAUCCGUAUCUUCAUUCUUCAUCUCAUUUUUUAAUCUUUAAACUUAAUUCCUUGGCUACAAGUUCUUUAACAUCUUUCCAUUGUUUCUUUGUGCUGGAUUAGUCCAGAGCAACGGUUGGAUCUUGACAAAAGUGAACAAACAUUAUACUCCUUCUGUUGUAUUGUUAUUCUUGAUGUACAUUGUUUUAGCUUUUGUUUGCACUUCAUGUUAGUUUGCUACUUUGUGACUGUUCGUUUCUUAUAAUGCAGUUUAUUUAUGCCAUGAUUUGUUUUUGUCUGGUUUCUUUUUGGCUUGGGCUCUCCUUCUCUCUGGCAUUUUUCUUAUUCUUACAUAAUGUCAUAAUGAAAGUUGUUUUCAUCUAAAAUAGGGUUUGGUUGUACGUAGCGCAUGAUUCAUCACAUCAUUAUAUUUGUCGUUGGCUACAACCCCUUUAUAGAAUUCCUUUGUUUCUUUAAUCAUAAAUCAAGUAUUUUAGUAUCUUCCCUUUUCAAUAAGGAACUGUUUUCCUACCAUUUAAUUUGUUGAAUGGUCAUACCACUGCAGUCAUCUUGUCAUAUAUGUCCAUUUCUUGGACUGGAGUUAAGUUUCUAUAUUGUCAUUCAUUUGCAUUGCAUAACCCUUCCUUGCUCAACAUUUUUGCAGAGAAUCCCAGAAACUUUUGUCAGGAUGAUCAGGGAUGAGCUUUCAGCAGUUGCAACCCUUACUGUUCCUGAUGGCCAUGUUUGGCGUGUAGGUUUGAGGAAAGCCGACAAUAAAUUUUGGUUUGAAGAUGGAUGGCAAGGAUUUCUUGAGCAUUACUCAAUACGGGUUGGGUAUUUACUAGUAUUCAGAUAUGAGGGAAACUCAUCGUUCUGUGUUUUUAUCUUUAAUCUUAAUACAUCUGAAAUAAACUAUCAAUCGGCUGCUCUCAGUAAUAAUCAAAGGAAUAAUUACAGCAUUCAAAACCGAAUCUUUGAAGAAAUGGAGGAUUAUGAUAUUCCUGAAGCCAUUCCUUCCAAUCAGUCCAUGAAUUCCGGUUCCUUGCGGAAUAAGCUAUUUGGUGAUGAAUGGAAUCUGCACCAAUCAAAAUCUGCAAGUACAUUACAAGCUGAGUAUUUAUCUACUAGAGAUAUUGGGGUUCAGUUUAGUGCUGUGGAGGUUAAAAAAUCUGCAGAUGAGGUGAGAUUCCAGAAUUUGGGUGAUGAUGCAGCACACAGAGUUAAAAAGAGUGGAAGCAAAAAGCGAAAAAUCGAGUCUAGUAAGCUUUUGUCUUAUUGCUUUACAGUUUGCACUGUAAAUGUUUGAAUUAUCUUACCCAGUAUUUUUCGAACUGCAGGCGAGCACCAUCCAUCUGCUCAUAAUAGUGAAGAUUUAGGAGACAUUCGUUUUAGAUUUUAUGAAAGUGCUUCUGCUAGAAAGAGAACUGUGACAGCAGAAGAAAGAGAAAGAGCUAUCAACUCUGCAAAAGCUUUCGAGCCUGGUAAUCCUUUCUGCAGAGUCGUCUUGCGACCAUCCUAUCUAUAUAGAGGUUGCAUAAUGGUAAGAUAUUGAGGUUGAAAUUUAUCAUAUGAAAGCUUUUAAAUUGAAUCACGUGAGCCCUAACAAGGGUAUUCUGCACUCUCCUUUACAGUAUUUGCCAUCUUGCUUUGCUGAAAAGAAUCUAAGUGGGGUUUCGGGAUUCAUCAAACUUCAGACGCCUGAUGGGAGACAGUGGCCGGUCCGAUGCCUUUAUAAAGUUGGUAGAGCGAAGUUAAGUCAGGGAUGGUACGAGUUUUGCCUGGAAAAUAAUUUAGGGGAGGGCGAUGUUUGUGUGUUUGAGCUUCUUAGGAUGAGAGAAAUUGUACUCAAAGUUACCAUGUUUCGUGUCAUUGAAGAAGGCGGACGAAUGGCAAACCCAAAUCCUGCUAGCAUGAUGAAUCCACCUCCGCUGCGAAGUGUUAGCCACAUUAAGCUGAUCAGAAAUUAAUGGACAAUAUUUCCAGGUUACCCUUUUGUAUCAAAUCUGUCUCUUUUUUGUGGUAGCUUGUUGAUUCUGAUCCCUUGUGGUAUUAGCUGUUGUUUGAUGUUUAUAAUCUUUCGAGAUUGACUUAAGUUGGAAAAAAAAAAGGAUCCGUUUAGAGUUUACGUAUUAAAGCUGUAUUGACUUUAGUUGUAUAUAGAUUUUCAAAUUUUUGUUGAUAUCAAUCUAGACAAGAACAUCAGCAAGUGUUUGUUUUGGUUCUUCAUGUUGAGAGUGUAUUCAAUUAUUAGAUUUUACUUUAUCUCAACAACUUCAUCUAUUUGUCUGUGUAGCUGUUGGUAAGAUAGGAUCAAUGGCAAAUUGCUCAGGUUUUAGGAGAUAGUUGAUUUAGGCCUAUGUCAUAGCUCUCGUGAAUUUGACCAACCACAGUGAUACUUAUUCUAUUUUUCUAGGAACUACAAUGUUAGUUUAAGCAGCGGUGUGUUGUACCCUAAGGGCAGCUGUUAGAGUUCUAAAGUCUGGAGUUAGGAAAAUUGUGCAUGCGGUCGAAGGCUGUUUCGUUUGGAGUUAGGAAAUAUUAGAGGGAGAAUGAGGGAAAAUAGAGUUGUUUGAUGAAUUUGAACUUUAAUAGUGAUUACUGUUUAAGUUAUUUUGGUAGACCAAACGCCUCCUAAUUUCAUUUUGCAUCGACCCUGGUUCUUGUUUUGCUUUCAAUGGAGACGUUGAAUUCGAGUCUAGUAUUCAAGUUGACAUGUAAGAAGAGUGUUAACAGUGUAUUAGAUUAUCUCAAAUAUUCAUCCUUCACUCAGUGCCACCACGCUCUUGGCUUUUUCCUUUGAAAGGCCUUGGUCUUGCUAUUAUGGAAGUCUCUCAUGGUUUUAAGUAUCCUUUUGUUUGUUUGUUUGAAUUAGCUCCUCUCUAUGUUUGUACCCAUUUCCAUCAUUUUGCUUGCUACUUCGUUUUUUGUAUUUUUUAAAUGCAUAGAUAUAUUUCUCUUGACAAAUGUUCUCUUAGUGUUUUUUUUUCUUUUCCUCCUUGGAGAUCAAUGUACUAAUGUUCUCAUAAGAAAUUGUGUUGCAAUAAUCUAAAUUGAUUCAUUUAGGAAAGUUGAGAGGUUUUUAUUGAUACAAAUUAUAAGCUGAAUUUUUUCAUAUGGGAACGUGGAGGAUGAUCUAAAUAAAUAUACUUAAAAGAUAAAUCGGUACGAUUAUUAGUUAUCAUUUAAAUUUAUAUGACAUAAGCUAAAUGUAAAAUAAUAUUUUUUUAAAUUUUGGGGUGACACGAGGUUUGACCUUAUUUCUAAACUAAAAGAUUUUUGUUAUCGUCAUAUUCGAGUACUAUUACCAAAAUAGAAUAUUACAUGAUUUUUGUUAUCGUCAUAUUCGAGUACUAUUACCAAAAUAGAAUAUUACAUGUGGGGCAAAAUAUUGAUAGAUUAUUUUUUAUUCAUAUAUUUUUUUGUUAAAAUAUAUCUUCUAGUUCUUAAACUUUUAAACAAGCAAACAAAUUUUGGUUUGUAACGAUUUAAUCCUCGUACUUUCAAUUUAGUAUUAGUUUAGACUUUCAAUUUUGUAUGAAACAAUUUUAUUGCUAAUUAGUCUAUACCUACAAAAAAAACCAUCAAAAUUUUACAUCAAUUUUUUGAUUUAUUAUUUUAUAAUCUAAACUUUUUAUUUCAUAAAAUUAUUGAGUCCCAAGUAAGUAUGCAAAAAAAUUUUAUUAAAUUUUUAUGCUAAUUUCUACCGUAGAAACUAAGUCGUUACAAAUUUUAAAAUUUAAAAUUCAAGGACUAAAUUGUCAUACAGUAAAGUCUUUUUUUGUUUUUUAAAAAUCUUUCAAUAAAUAAAUUUUUAAAAACUUUUGUUUUAGAAAAAAGAAUUAAAUAUUAAUUGAUCGGUAUUUAAAAAAUCGGUAAGAACUAAUUUGAAUUGCAGAAACAAUCCCUAAAAUCUAAACGAUAAUAAUGAACCUACAAAUUUAAACCAACAAUAUAAUUAGUAAUGUAUUUAUGACAACCUACUUAAUUUCUACCCACUUUGAUUAACACCACAAAUUUGGAAUUAAUUCAAGUCUAAUAAAUAUAAAAUGAGGCUAUAAAUUCAACUAAUAAACUCCCCCUCCAUCCAAUAAUUAUAUCAUUUUUGAAUGUAAAUAAAUAAUAGGGUUGUAUAUUAUUGGAGGAACUAGGCUUCUGAGAAUGGGGAAGGAGGAUGAAAAGUGCCCAUUUUUCGUUUAAGUAACCUACAUGACUCUUUUUGACUGUUCAUAAGUGGAUGAUAGAAAUAAAUAGUAAUUUUCCACGAAUAGUCAGAAAAUCUUAUUUUUUUGGAAGAAAAAAAACGUGUUAAAUAAACUUUUAUGACUCAUUUAGAAUAUGUUUACUAAGCAUUAAACACAUGAAGUCAAUCACAAAUAAUUGUUUUUAGAAAAGCUUUAAUAUAUUUUUAGAUAUUAUAUACUUAGUGACACCUUAAUGUGUUGUUAAAAUACUUUUAGAAAUGUUAACUAAAACAACGUUGCUAAGUUUUAGAAUUAUUGAUUUUUUUUUUUUUGUCAAUGUUGAAUUUCAAUUUUAGCAAGUUAACUUGGAUUUAAAGAACUUGAUUAAAAUUUUAAGUUCUCAAUAUUAAAUAUAUUACACCCUAAAAUGGUCGACUAAUGAAAUAAACGUUUUUUCAUUUAAGAAAUUUAACGUAGUCCACUUAAGGUGUUGAUGGAUAGAAUAAACAUUUUGUUAAAUUUUGUAAUCAAAUUUAGGUUAUGUGAUACAUUUACUUGUAUAUUUGACCUUCAAAGUUCUCUUUACCUUCGUGGUUCAAAAUUUGAACAACAUAAAAUUUAUCUCCUUGAUUACUUUUUAAUGACAAUACAUUGUGAAUUCAUAUAUCAAUGUUACUAAAUUGCAAUUAAGAGUCUAAAAUAAUGGCACAAUAAACUUGUCAUAACUUUGGAAAAGAUUGGAGUUUUUCGUAUUUUUCUACCAAAAUCGCACCUUUCUCAUUUAAGUACAUUUUAUGAUUCUUUUUUACCGUCAUAAUUUUUUUUCACAAAAAAAUGUGUGAAAUGAGUUUUUAUGACUCAUUUUUCACUAUGUCGUCCAUUUUUGCUACUAGUCACAAGUCAUGGAAGGUCAUAUUAGUCGUAGAAUUUGGUAAAUGUUUUACAAGAAUCCAUUGUAUUAAAUGAAGUACAUGACAAACAAAAUGUAAAAACUAGCAUAUCUAUUUCAAAUUAUUAAAUUAAAUAAUUUAAUCUAGGUAUAUGUUUAAGGAAAAGAAAACUCCAUUUCAACCCUAUUUGAUCAAAUUACUAAGUGGAAAAAAUAUACUAUUUAUCCUCUCUCCAGCGUUUUUUAGAUAAAUUCAUAAAAUUUGAAAUUCAUGCUUCGUCUCGAUAGGAUGAAUUAAAGAAACUAUUUUAGACAUGCAACAACAUAUCUAUAGUCUUCGUCACCAAUUGACACCAUGAGAUAUUUCAUGCAUGGCCUCAUAGCAACUAAAAACCCAUCUCCCAACCAAGACUCUCUAUGGUGGGUUAGCUUAGGAUCCUCUUCUUAGCAUUAAUUAAACUGAAGUUGCCAAUGACAAGGUUAACUCUUCAAAAAGAUAAGAUUAUAGGUAUGUGAUUCUCUAAUAUUGUCCUACUCUAAUCUCUAUGAUGUAGGCUUACCAAAAGUUAAUUAAAAUAUUGAAAUAUUGCAUUAGAUGACAAAAAAAAAUUAGAAAAAGACAAAUCAUAACAACUCAUUUUUUUAUAUUAUAAAAUUGACAAAAUGGGACUAGUAAUUGAUCAUAUCAGACGGUAAUGUGCUUUUAAAUUUGUUAUUUUUGCGAUUUAAAAAAUGUAUAUGACAUGGAUUCUAUUAUCAUAAUUUAAAAAAAAUUAUUAGUUAUUAUAAUAUAUAACUAAUGAAAAAUUAAAACAUAGAAUAAAGUUGAAAGCUCACCUACUAUAUGAUUUAAGACUGGUCUAGACUAAGAUAAAUUUCUAGCCUAUUUAGAUAUAGAUAAAUUUAAUAUAAAUAGUUUUAAAAUGUCAACAUAUAAAAUUAUAAUAAGAUUACAAUAAAGUAAAUUGCACACUUAUAUAAAAAUAAGAUUUGGGAUCUUACUUAGCUUAAAAACAAGGUUAACUUUCUAAACAAAAUAAAGAGAGAAAAUAUUUACCAUCAUUGUUACAAAUUGAAAAAGUACAUAAAAUUUACUAUUUUUUUUAAAAAAAUUAGGUUUGUUCUAAAAAAAUGUUAAUUGUUAUGUAAUUAACACCAUACUUGGGAACUGAUUAAAAAUUUUGAAUUGGUCAAACUUUAUUUAAAAGCUUGCUAUAUUGUGAUUAGUGUAUUAAAUAAGUUUAAUCAACUUAAGAAAUUCACAUGAUGAAAGAAACUAACCUAAACGUUUGUAGUAUGGGCUGACUAAUAAACCCUUGGAUUAAUGAUUUUGGAUUUUAUCCCAAAAUUUUUAGAUCAAUUUAUAAGAUUAGAUGUAUUACUAGAACUAUCUCUUAUAAAAGGUGUUUGUGCGUGAAUUUAACAGGUGAAUUAGAGAUAUUAUUUAUAGUACGUAAGUGAAGAACAAAUAUGACAAACUAUCAUAAGACGUCCAUCAUUAGUUGAGUUUAUGUCUAAGCUCGUGGCAACUUACAAUGACCGUUUAGAAGGAUACUUGAAUCGGUUAAUAUCAUUAUUUAACUCCUAGAAAAAAAUAUGUUUUCCAAUAUUUAGUGGGGUUGGUGGGCUUAAUUAGACUACAAUGGUUAUAUAUUAGAUAAUUAAUGAAAAAUUAAAACAUAAUAAAGUUGCAAGCUCACCUAAUAAGAUUAGGGAUUUUACAGCUUGGAUUAAAAUAAAUUUAAUUAAUGUUUUAAAUUGUUUUAAACUUUUCAAUUUGUCUUUAUAAUUUAUUUUUUUGAGAUUAGAAUAAAGUAAAUUGAAUUCAUACUAAAAAAAUUAAGAUAUUUAGAUAAAAUAAAUCUAACUAAUAUUUUAAAUAGUUAAUUUUUUUUAAUUCUUUUUUAAAAAUUCUAUUGAGAUUAGAAUAAAGCAAGUUGAAUGCUUACCUGAUGAGACUAUGAUUUUAGACUAAUAUAAAACAAAUUUUAAUUAAUAUUUUUUAUAUAAUUUAAAAUUUUUAAUUUAUUGUUAUAAAACUAUGAUGCCAUUAAAAUAAAACAAAUAAUCUUAUGAAAUGAAUGUAAUUAAAAUUUAGUUGUUCCACAAAAGUAAAUUUCAAAAUAUAGUUAACUUCUCAGGUUCCUUUAAAUAUAAGAAAUGGUCAAAUAUUUACUAUCAUAUAGAACAAUUUCAAAAACAAAAUCGUUAAGGCUAGUCGAAAAUACAAAAAAUGUUCAAUCAUUUAUUAGCAUCGAGUACCUAAUAUAUUUGAAAAACGAUAGUUAAAUUUUGGUAGUCAAAUUUGAACGAUUUUUUUUUUUUUGUACACAUUCGUUUAUAUUUGGAAAACAAUCAUUUACAUUUGAUACGUUUAUAUUUGGAAUAGAAUCGUUUAGAACACUUUUUCCAAUAAUUUUUUUGUACAAUUGUUUUGAUUUGAAAAACGAUCGUUUAAGUUUAAUAUAUGUUUAUAUUUGUAACACAAUCGUUGAUUUGAUCAUUUAAACUUGGCUACCUAAACCAUUUUAAGAUUCCUUGUACACUAGAUUUGACUAUUCAAUAUAUUUUUGUUAAUAUUUGGAACAACGAAAUAAUCAUGUAAAAAAAAACUAGAUUUUAUAUUUAGUAUUAGAUCUUGAACCAAAAAAAACAAUUAGAAGAAAAAAUAAAAGAAAAAGGGCAAAGAAGAGAAAAAGAGGAUGAAAAGAAAAAUUGCAAAAAAUUAAAAGAAAGACAAACCUGAAAUAUUAAAAAAAAAUUGACAGUUUCAUAAGCUUAUUUUACUAUACGGACCGUAAAUAUUUUACUGAUUUGUUAUAUUUAAGAAAAUUAACCUAUUGUUUGGUAUUGAUUUUUUGUUUCUAAUCUUAUUUUAAAUGAAAUAUCUUGAUUCCAUCACUUUUGAUGAACGAAACCCUUCAAUAGUAAGAAGGGUCGAACUGUUGGAAGGUUGAACAUUUUAAUACCAAAUUUGAAAGAUACCCAAAUAAUAGGAUUGAUGGAAAGUCUAGCUUCUAUUCGAUCUCUAAUUUUCAAAAUAUUACAUUUUUAGUUUUAUUUUAUUUCAAUUUAGUCUCUAAAUCUUAAAUGUGACAAUUCUAUUUUAAUAUAAUCAAAGGCAUUAAAAGAUUGUUUAGAGCAUAUUUGACAACUUUGAGUCAUUUGGAAGAGUUGAGUUGGUGGAUAAAAAAGACCAACAAUCCUAUAGUUCACCAAUAAUUAAAGAGAUCUUUUUAAUCCCAUUAUUCACGUCAACUCACAUUUUUCACUAAAAUAUUUACAUUUCUCACAUCACUUCCGUAUUCGUGUCAACUCUCCCCAAUUAUUUACUAUAAUUAUUUUCAACUCAACUUUUUACUUUUAUAGAUAUCCAAACGGUUCCUUACUAAAAGAAUAAAGUUAAAAGUAGAAGUUAAGAAUAACUUGAGUAAUCCGACAACCGAUUUAUACUCCUAAUUAAAAAUACAAAUAUAUUGAUGAAAAAUCAUUAAAAAUAGAUCAUUUGAUCAAAAUAUUUAUACAUUCACACAAAAAUGAAUUGUUAUGUGUAAAUAUUUUGUCAAUUUUUUCUAUUUAAAAAAAAUUCAAUACAACGUAUAGAAAUCCACUCAAAGUACGCACUAAACUAAAAAGAAUUAAAAUAGUGAGAUUUAGAACUUAAUAGGAAUUAAAAUUUAAACUCAAAACCUAAAAUUGAAAUUCAAAGGACCAAAAAGGAAUUUUACUCCAAAUUAAAUAUAAUAUUUAAUAUUUUUUCUUAUAAUGCAAAACUCUCUUCCUUUUUUAAUUUUCUAGUUUAAGCAAUUUAUUAAAGCCAUGGGGGCCACUAAUCAAACGUGUCAAUUUUCCAUUAGCUCUUACGAAGGUGGGCCCACAUGGUACAAACAAAGCAUAGUUUUUUUUAACCUUCAUCUCUCUCUCUCGCUUCUCGCGCACACACACAGCGCUGGGUUUCCACUGCAAAGUUCUUCGUCAGAACAAUCAAUGGAAAUUGAAUUAAGGGUCCGCUGAAAUUUCAAUGGAUAACUCUCUUACAGCCAUGCCCGAGUCAAACGAGCAAGAAGGAGCUCAAUCCUUUAAUCAAACCUCUCCAGCAAGAAGAGCUGGCCUCUUCUAUAAGCUGGUAGUGCCAUCCAUUCUUCAAGACAAGAAGCUGGUAAUCAGUCAUCGGUCGUACCGCCUCUAUUUCGUUUUCUUUCUGUUCCGAUUUUUCUUUUUAUUUUUCUUAUGGGAAAACCAAAAUAAACGGAACCCAGAGUCGGUUUUGGGGAUGAGAAUGUACAAUCAUUUCCAUUUCUUUGCUUACUCGUGAUAAAUGAUUGAUCAAUUGUUUCUUAGCUUUAUUUUCUUUUUUGCUUAAGUGGGGUGUGAUACAAUCGUUCAUUUUAGAUUGAUGGUGAAGAAAUUCAGGGAAAAUGCCUCUUGGUGAUUAGAUUCUAAGCCGAUUUUAGCUACAAAGUUUUUAUGGUAGUUCCGUACUGUUGGAUUUUUUUUUUUUUUUUUUUUUCUGUUUUUAAGAUUAGAGAGAUGAGAGACCUAAAGCAAAAUUCUUUUUCUGCAAAGAUGUGGAGGGCAACCAAUUGGAAGCUGAUCAAUGGGUAUCAAUAGCCGAGAACGGGAUUUGGGUUGUGAAUAAUUGGGUUUUAUCUUUUGCAGCUUGAGUUUAUUGGGGUUGAUUGAUCUUUACUUUUCUAAUUGGCCUUGAACGAUCAACUUUUUCAAUUUCUAUCUGUAAUGAUGUACUGCGAGCACCCCUGUUUUCACUUUAGGCAAAUAAUUUGUGUGGGCGAUUGAUUUAACUAAAUUGAACAGGCAGUGAACAUCAGUUAAUAGUUAAACUGCUGGAGGAUAGUGUUUUCUUUCUCUCCUUUUCAUUGUGCCCUUGAAAAAUUCCAUUAAUGGGGUUGAAAUAUCUGCUGUUCAAUGAAUUUUGGAGGCUUAUGUAUGGCUAUGCUUACUGUUGAGUUGACUUGUUUAAGAAAGAGUGAGAAAACCAUGAUUCUAUCUAUUAUCGCUUUUUGUAACUAUUCACAAGUUUGACUCUGAUAAUGGUAUUGACAGUUUUGUUAAUGAUAGAUACUUUCAUUAGAAAUCCCGCAGAUCGGGGUAUUUUCUGUUUGCAGUAUUGUUUGUUUAACAGAUUAAUUUUAUUUAUCUACAGAAAAUACCAAACAAGUUUGCUAAGAAGUUUGGAGGUGAUAUUUUGGAUCUUGUUACUCUGGUUGCUCCUAAUGGUUAUCGAUGGGUUCUGGAAUUAAAAAGACAUGGCCGUAGUAUGUGGUUUGAGGAUGGUUGGCAUGAAUUUGUCAAACACCAUUGCAUUCAAGUUGGACAGCUCUUGGUCUUCAGAUUUGAAGGAAAUUCCGUUUUCAACUUUUACAUGUUCAACCUAACUGCAAUUCCAAAUGGUCCAUGCAAUACUUCAAAUGCUUCCAUUGAACAAAACGAUGGCGAACAAUGCCCAGAUACACUUGGAAAAGAAGCUGAAUACAAGAAAUUAGUUGAAAUAUUAGGAACUGGUUCUCCUGACCCCUCUCCACGUCCUUCUGUCAAGGACCUUGUUUGUGAGUUUCCAGAUCAGCAAAAAUUCAAUGGAAGUUGCAAUGGGACUAGCAUUAAGAAUUUUAUGCAUUGGUUCGACACAGAGAACCUGCAUCCUCUAAAGGAUUUUGAUAAUCCACUAAAGCAUUUAGAUAAGUUGCGCAUGCAACUACUAAAUUCAAAUCGAGAUAUCGGUAUACAGUUCGACGGGGAUGAGCUUGCGAAAGCUAGAGAAAAUCAUGACUUUCAAUUGAAUCAAUCCUCUGAUGAAAGAGAGGAAGGAGCCAUGAAAAAGAAGUUAAAACUUGAACCAAGUAAGUUCUAAAAAUGCACAGUUUAACUAAUUUGCAGAUUCUGAGAAAUAAAUUGGUUCUUAAUAUCAAAAUUCAAUGUAGUUGACUACUACAAUGACAAUGAGCCAAUAGACGAAAAAAAAUGUGGAAACGUCCCACAUAAAAUUAAUAGGAUGGCUUUUGGAGUUGAGGAGUUCAAGUUUGGUAAUCCGUUUUGCUGGAUUGUUAUGAGACAAUCCUAUAUACGAAGAGGGUUCCAUUUGGUAAGUUUUUUAGCUCUACACUCCAUUAUUUGAUUCUCAACUGUAUGCUGAAGUAGAUAGUACAAAUGAACUUUUUUUUUUUCGUUAUUGACAGCAUAUACCAUCCAAAUUUGCGGAGAAGUAUCUAAAAGGGGUCUGGGGCGAUAUCACACUUCAGGUUUCAAGUGGGAAGCAAUGGCGUGUUCGAUGCAUUCGUGAAGGUCCUGGCACCAAGUUAACCAGGGGAUGGGCUGACUUUGUCGUGGACAACGAUUUGAAAGAAGAAGACGUUUGUGUCUUUGAGCUGAUUAAUAUGAAAGAUAUUGUGAUGCAAGUUACAGUAUUCCGUGUCCAUGGUGAUCCAACAAAAACUUGAACCCGAGGUAAUCUUUUUACUGAAUUUGACGUCUAUUAUGUAAUGUUUUCAACGUUGACUGCUCGUUUGUCUUGCAUGCUUCAUUAGAUUAUAAGUAGUACUAACUGUUAAGUUUGAGCACAAAAUAGAAUUGAUUAUGAAAUAGUUAAGAAAUUUGAGAACAAAAUAGAAAACCAUUCCUCAGAAUUCUCAGCCAAAUGGUUUACUUACUCUAGUAUAUAUAGUGAACUGUUCCACUGAUGAUUUGAUUGUGUGCCCCUUGUGUCUUGAGGAGGUGAAGUAAAUGGAUUUUGGGUUUACAUGUAGAUUCAAAGUCUCUACGGAGUCUGGCUUCCUUAAAACAUUUAGAGGAUCAUAACUAUGGAAAUUAAGGGCUGUUUUUUAUGUUUCUGUUUCUUGUUUUUUUAGGAAGAAAGAAGAUGAAAAUUUUAUUUGAUGCAUUCUUUUAGGAGAAAAAUGUAUUUGAUUGUCAGAUUUUCAUUUAGUAACCAUUUUAUUAUUUUUUACUUUCUCAAACUUUAAAAUCAAAAGCUUUACUUGGAAAUUAUUUUUCUAAACAUAAAGUAUUUUGCUUAAUUGUCGAAAGAACAAAAUAUCUAAGUUUUUGUUCGAUAACCAUAUGGUUUUUGACUUUUAGCUUUUGAAAAUCAAGAUAUGAACAACUUUUCCACCCUUAAAUUCCUAAAUUUGUUAUCUAUUUUUACCAAUAUUUUCAAAAAUCAAGUCAAGUUUUGAAAAUAGCAAAUUGCAAAAGCCCCAUAUAAGUAUGGUGGUAGUUGCAAUUAUAUCUUCUAAGUUUAAUUAUAAAAAUUAGGUACUCAAUUUUUUACGAAAUUACACCUUCAAGUAAUAGCUUUGGGCUUCCAAAUGAUAAAAAUGACCCUCAAAUGUGUACAAUUGUUAUAAUGUCUACAAUUAUAUAAGUUUGAAGGUCUAUUUUUAACACUUGUACAAGUUUGAUGGCUUACUUUUUAUAAUUUUGAGGAUAUAAUUGCAACUACCAACAUACUUCAAGAGUGGUUUUUGUAAUUUGGAAAAGUAGUUUUUAAAAUUUUACUUUUAUUUGUGAAAUUUGUUAAAGAACUCAAUUUAAAGAAACAUAAACAUUAUUGUAAGAAAUUAAGUGGAAAUAUGUUUAAUUUUAGAAACCUAAGUAAUUAUCGAGGCUUUUAAACUAUCCCAUCACGUUUAGUUUUUCAAAUGCAAUGCUUUUAAGUGGAGAAAAAAGAGAAAAAGAUAAACAAUGUUUAUUCAUGUCUCUUAAUAAUAAAAAACAACAAGCAACAAACAAUAGUCCCAUUCGAUAACCAUUUUGUUUUUUGUUUUUAGGAAUUAAGCAUUUUAAUUUCUUACAAUAAUUAACAUUUGUCUUAAAUAAAAAAGUUGAAUUCUCAGCCCAAUUUAAAAAACAAAAACAAGUUAUCAAAAAUUGGUGAAUUGGUUUUAAAAACUCUCCUACAAUAUAACCAACAAAACUGGAUAAUGGAUGAAAAAUAAAAAUGAAUUUUUAUCACGAGAAACAUGAAAGAGUUAGAUGUCCAUAUAUUAACCCCUUGAGAAAUGAGAUGGUACAUGUGUAUAUUCUGUAACUAUAGAAAUUAUCCUCCCUCUUGUUUCUCCAUUAAUCACGCAUCUGAAAAUCUCAUAUCUUAACAUUCUACUGUCUGCACUUUUGCAGGAAAUUGGAAAAACCCCAACUGGAACAUCCAGUUUAUUGUUAUGCAAUUAUGUUGGAAUUUUUCUCCAAAGACAGAUGACAAUGAGGUCUUGGUUUACACAACACCUUGUUGUUGCAGUUUAUCCUUGUAACCUUGCCCAUGUCCAUUUUUCGUCUUUAUCAUUUACAGUUUUUUCUUCAAAGCAUGAAGUUGAAGAGUGGUUGAACUUUGAAACUCCUGUGCUUAGACCUCCAUUGUAAAUUCUUCCCUGAACGGAAAAGUAAAAAAAGUUGGUGUUUCUUUUCUCCGUAAUGUAUAUUGGCAUGAACUUUGAACUUUUUUACUCAAAAAGUUGGAGAGACUGACUCUUCUUUUCCAAGGAAAUGGAUGCCACCAAUGCAAGAACGAAUCUGUUUCAUUUCAUUUGUGAACAAGUUGGGUAAACAGUUUGGACUUGGCAGGCGCCAGUAGUCAGAGUAGUUUCCCAUCAAAUUAUGACUAUUCGGUUAAUGUAUGUUUUUUGGUAUAGUUUCCCUUUAACUAAUUGAUUUUAAAAUGUAACAUAUUAAUUCAAUAGUUUUGAGUUUGAUUUCAAUCUAGUUUAGAAGUUUCAAAAUGUUAUAACUUUCUCGUUGAAAUUUGAGUUAUGUAUCAAUUCCAUAUACUUCAAAAUUUAUGUCUACUAUUUUAAUUUUCGUUAAAUAUUCACUUUUAGUCCUGGAGGUUAAUGUCUAGUAAAAUUUUAUUAAUCAAUUAUAAUCUUUUUAAAUUAAUAGAAGAUGAGUAUUUUAUAAAAACUUGAGGUUAACUUGUAAACCUUGAAAGCUUUUAAGGAAAUAUUAAGAACUAUAAUUGUAGCAUUACAUUUCAAAAAUAAAAUUCUCAAUAAUAAUUACAAAAAAAUUCAAUAAUAUAGCAGGAUAAAAGUAAUACAAUUUGGUUAUAAACAAAUAAUAAAAGCAAUCAAUUCUGAGAGCAAAAUACAAAAACUCCUCUUUGAAAAUAAAUAAAUUAAUUGAUUUUUAGAUUCUUUCGAGUGAAAAAAAUGACAGUUUAUAAAAACGCCUGAAAAUCAAUUUGUCACUUUCUAAGAUUAUAAAACAUAACGUGUAACGCUUGUAUUUAUAAUUUUGGCACAAUUUUGUUCCAAAAUAAGAUAGUUUUUAAAUUGGAAUGUAAUGUUAAAUGGGUGUUUGUUUUUAUUAAUUUCGUCUCUUUGGUUGGAGAGAAAGCAAAUAAAUAAAUAAAUAUUCUUAUUUAUUUAUAUUUUUUUAAUAAAAAAAUAUAAAAAAAACAAAUAAAUCUUAUUAAAAGAAGAAGAAAACUGAAUAAAAGGAAAAUAAACUAAAGUAAAAAGAAACGCCGUUGCCGGGGAUCGAACCCGGGUCACCCGCGUGACAGGCGGGAAUACUCACCACUAUACUACAACGACUUGUUGAAAUGAAAUGAAGAUUUAUUUUAUUUAUCUAAUAUUUCAUGAAUAUAUGUUAGCAAUAGAAUGCUACAUAUUUCUUUUCCAAUCAAAUCUUUAAACGGAUUGAUUUUAUUUUUAAUAUAUAAAAUACAAAAUAGAAAAUUUGUAAAAAUAAUAAAUUUGAUAAAAUAUUUAGAACAUAUAGCAAAAUUUUGUUAUAGUUUAUAAAUAUUUUAAUUUACAUUGUUGUUUUUUUAAGAAGCCUCUACAAAAUAUUUGAAAUAAUAGGAUUUUCGCUCUUAAAUCCUUACUUAAGCACUUUUCUCGUCUUUUUAGUUAAGCUAAUAUAUUUGUGAUUGCAUUAAUAUAUUUUUCACAAAGGAAAUAUAAUGUUUGAGGGUUAUUUGAUAGGAUUUCUAAAUUUUAAGAAUUAGAAUUGGUAUUUGAUGUACAUGAUUUAGAAGUCUUAGUUUCUAAAGCUUAUAUUUGAGUUAUUAUGGACCAUCUAUAGCCUAUGUUGUAUUGUGGAUCAAUUUUUAUGAUAAAUUAAAAUGUUUCAUCUAUCCAUUUUAGAAUGAAUUUUAUAUUAUAUUUAUAUGUUUUGUAUUUUCAAAUCAAUUUUUUUGUUUGUAAUGAAUGACGGUGGUUUUAGAUUUAUUGUGACAAACCAAACUAUAAUAAUUUAUCAUAUACUCAUUUUCGUGGAUAAAAAAUCUAAUUAAAUGUGUCGUUUGAAUGUACUAGAGAAAAAAAAUAGUAUUUUAAAAGUUAUUUUUUAUUUAGAUUGUUUUAAUUGAAUUUUCUACAAAUAAGCUGGUAAAACACCUCAAUUUUCACCGGUAGAUAUCUCAUAUUGAGCGUAACAACAAAAACUCAAGGGAUAAAAUCUAAAAUUGAAUGUGACAAAAAAAAUGUAGUUGGAGGGGUUUGGUCAACCUCAUUCUUGGGCUUCCCUUUUUCAGUUCGACCUCCCUUUCCAAGGGCUUUUUGUAAGUUUAAAUCCCAACAUUAUAUAAACAAUAAAAGCUCAAGUCUUUCAACCAAAUAAUUUUCACAAUAAUAUGAAUUAAAGUAAUAUACUUUGAUCCAAGAAAUUGUGUUUUCCUCUGGGCGUUCCUUUAAAACUUGAUUAGGAUGAUGAAAAGAAAAAGUUACUUAAUGAGUUAGAGUGAAGAUCAAUCCUAGAGUUUCAUUUGUAUACAUACCGUCUCAUAUGGGUGUUUAAUUAAAAUAUGUUUUUUACUUGAUUGAUUGAAUAAAAUAAUACAAAAGAUAAAACAACAUAUAUGUGUGGAAGGCGAUCAUUUCACUCAAGGGUGUUGCUUAGUUAUGCACUUGCUCUUUGAUGGGCUAAUUCGUGGAGUUUCAUCUUUCUUUUGAGCCCAUUUUCUGAUUGGUUUCCCGAUGUGUAGGAUAAUAUGGAAGUAUUGUUGGUUAUUAUCUUGAAGGAUGAUUUGGUUCCUUUUUAGUUUAAAAAGUAGUAGGCUUGAGAAUGGGUGAUUUCUAAUUGUCCUUGGUAUAUGGAGGGCACUCCUAUUUUGAUGAGGAAGUAGGUUCCAAACAUUAUUUCUAAGUCCUUUGUAUUUGAUUGGGUGCCCAUUUGAGUGAAGUUGCUCAAAGUUUCUUGAGAAUUGUAGACUCCUAAGUGUGUUGAGUGUUUUGUGUGGCCAAGAGUAUUUGAUUUAGCAAUAUGUAUGGAUAAGACUAUCUAAGAGUUGUGAAUUGUCUACCCAUCUCUUGUGUUGAGGUAAGAGUAGUGAUUUUCCAUGUGUUUUGUGACAAUAUAGUUGCGAACAUAGAAUAUGCUUGGAUGGUGUACAAAUGUGCUUAUUGGGGUGAUGGUUUUGGCCUAUCUAUUGAUAAGCGUGGGGGAGAGGGUUGAUAAGGCACUUUUCUUUUGUACAUUUAGCUCUUAUUAGUGGUGAUUUGAUUCUCACCACUAAUUAGAGCCUAGCUAUAGGGUUGUUGUUCUUUUAUUCAAGGGGCAAUUAGUCUUCUAUGAUGGGAGGUUAGGGUUAGGUUCUUACGUUAGUCUUAUGGCUCACUUGGUGGUGUUUAGAACGUCAAAUUUACAUAAAGACACUAUAAAUUAUUGUAUUCUUUAGCGUUGUUCUAAUGAUGUCUCUGAUUUAGUGGUCAAUUACUGUUAUGUGCUAACGAGUCUUAACUCUUAGCAAACUUUUAAGACUUGUAAAAGGAUUUAGGAUAUUAAUUUAUUUUUUUGUGAUUUUAUUGAUUUCUUCAUGCUCAAAAGUUGUAAGUUUUUUAUAUGUUUUGUUUCUUCUAUUUUGGUUGUAGGAUUAGUUCUCUUUAGUUUGUGCUCUAACCUCAAAUUAAGAGGAAUUAUAUAUUAUAUAUUACGUAUAUCACCUUUAACCAAAUAAUUUGAGAAAUUUUCGUGUUUUUUAAUUUUUAUUUUUGGGAAAUCUUCAUUUUGAUGGAUCAAUAAUGGAUUUAAAGAAAAAAAGAAAGAAAGAAGAAUGCUAAUGUAAUCAAUUUGUGUGACAUUAGAGUUUCCUCUAAAUACCAAAACAGAUUUAGAAUUUGGAGCAUCAACGAAUUUUGUUCAUCUUCUUCUUCUUCUUCACCAGUUUGCAUUUCUAAUAAUGUCUUGAACUUUUCACUGUAACUUAGAAACUGAAGGCUGAAAACUUCCUCUUAGAAUCCUUCGUCGGUUUCACAAUCUCAGGAAAGCGAAAAAAUUGCUCUGAAUUUUCCGUAGCAGAAGGAAAUUGAAUGAGUCUGAAUCAUCAUUCGGAGUCUUUUGGGGUUUUAAAGGAUUUGCAAUGAAUUAUUUCAGGAAAUUCCAUGGAGAAGGAUGAUGCAGGGACUUCACCACCAACAGCAGCAACUAGCGGCCCUUCUCAACGUAGCUUUGCGGAAGGAUGAUCCUAAUCCCACUACCUCAAGUUCCAGUACCGCCGGUGCCACUUCCGACGAGGACGACUCUGCUAGAAUUGCAGCUAUCAAUUCAAUCCAUCGUGCCAUUGUUUAUCCUCCUAAUUCGCUUCUUGUAACUCACUCCGCCACUUUCCUCUCCCAGGGCUUCUCUCAGCUUCUAUCUGAUAAGUAAGACCUCCUCUUCUGGUUAUACAUUGCUGGAGUUUCUUCUCUUGAUUUUUCUGUACCGUUUUUCACUUUGUGGUGCGGAAAGAUCGUAUGGUAUUUUUGGCUUCGAGCUUAGAGUGCAUAUACAUUUUUUCAUUGUUGCCCUUUUUUUUCUAUCUGUGUGGAUUACUCAUGGUCUCUCUAGAAAUGUGCUUAUUAACGAAUUGGAAUUUUGAGCAAAUCCAUGGUGACUGGGCCGCCAACCUAGGAUUUAAUGCUAUAUGGGUUUCUUUAGUACCUAAAUGUUGGAGGGUCAAACGAGUUAUUCGAGAGAUUAGUUGAGGUGCGUCAAACGAAUUGUUCGUGAGAUUAGUUGAGGUGCGUCAAAAGAGGUGUUCAUGAUAUUAUUUGAGGUGCGUGUAAGUUGGCUUAGACACUCGUAAAAAAAGAACGGGAAUUUUGAGCAAGCUGGGGCAAUUAUCCUUUGUGUUGAACUCAAAUUGAAAAUUUUGGUUCUAAGAAAUAUACUCAAAUCUCAUUUUCUUCAAAAUUUUUGGUACUUUUGCUAGUAGUAUAAUGGGAAAAGUAGGUUUUUGCCUAUUGUUUCCAGUUCUUGUUUUAUAUACGUAAAACGGGGAUCCAUAAUUUUUUUUACUGAAUGUUAUUAUUGAUGCAACUAUUUCUUGAUUCCACAUAUUAGGUCAUACCCAGUGAGACAGGCGGCAGCCAUUGCUUAUGGAGCUCUCUGUGCUGUCUCAUGUUCAAUCACUGCAUCACCAAAUGGAAGGCAAAAUAGUGUACUACUUGGAACUUUGGUUGAUCGAUUCAUUGGUUGGGCAUUGCCAUUGCUUAGCCAUGUCACUGCAGGUGAUGCAACCACCAAGUUGGCAUUGGAGGGAUUGCAAGAGUUCAUUAACAUUGGAGAAGCUGGUGCUGUGGAGAGAUUUGCUUUGCCAAUCCUUAAAGCAUGCCAAGUACUUCUUGAGGAUGAGAGAACUCCCUUGUCUUUAUUACAUGGACUAUUAGGAGUUUUAACUUUGAUUUCUUUGAAGUUUUCUAGAUCCUUCCAACCUCAUUUCCUUGAUAUUGUUGAUCUGCUUCUAGGUUGGGCAUUAGUUCCAGAUCUAACCGAUUCAGAUAGGCACAUCAUUAUGGACAGUUUCUUACAGUUUCAGAAGCACUGGGUGGGUAAUUUGCAGUUUUCUCUGGGGUUAUUGUCAAAGUUCUUGGGUGACAUGGAUGUAUUACUUCAAGAUGGGAGUCCUGGGACGCCUCAACAAUUCCGCAGGUUACUUGCAUUACUUUCUUGUUUUUCAACAAUUCUUCGGUCUGCUGCUUCCGGGUUGUUGGAAUUGAACCUUCUUGAGCAAAUAAGUGAACCACUUUCGAGAAUGCUUCCUCAGUUGUUGGGAUGCUUAUCUAUGGUUGGACGUAAAUUUGGAUGGUUGGAGUGGAUUGAUAAUUUGUGGAAAUGCUUGACUCUUUUGGCAGAAAUAUUACGUGAGCGUUUUUCCACCUAUUAUCCACUUGCUAUUGAUAUCCUAUUCCAAAGUUUGGAAAUGACCAGAGCUAACCGUGUAGUGAAAGGUCAGAAGAUUACGUUUCUUCAAGUUCAUGGUGUUUUGAAAACUAAUCUUCAAUUAUUGUCCCUUCAAAAAUUUGGGCUGCUGCCAUCAUCUGUGCACAGAAUACUGCAAUUUGAUGCACCAAUAUCUCAGCUUAGAAUGCAUCCAAAUCAUUUGGUAACAGGUAGUUCUGCUGCCACUUAUAUAUUCUUGCUCCAACAUGGGAAUAAUGAAGUUGUUGAACAAACGGUGGCAUUAUUAAUUGAAGAGCUAGGUAUGUUCAGUGGCUUGUUAGAAAAAGGUUUAGAUCAAAGAGGUAUCAAUGGUAUUCUUGAUUCUCAAUUUUGUUCAACUAUGGAUUUGUUCGCCCUAAUUAAGUUUGAUUUGAGAGCCUUAUUGACAUGUACUAUCUCUAGUGGAACUAUUGGUCUGAUAGGCCAAGAAAACGUUGCUUUCACAUGUCUAAAAAGGUCAGAAAGAUUGAUUUCCUUCAUUAUGGAAAAACUGAAUCCUUUUGACUUUCCACUUCAGGCUUAUGUGGAAUUGCAAGCUGCUAUCCUCGAUACAUUGGACAGGUUGACCACAACUGAAUUCUUUUGCAAGUGCUCUUUGAAGAAAUUGAGCAGCGAGAACCGUUUUCUGGAUUCAGGAGAAAACAUAGAUUCUUAUCAAAAAAAAGGAGAAAACAUAGAUGAAGCCCAUCUAAAGAAGGAUCAUUCAGCUAUUAUUAUUGAGCAACUAACAAAAUACAAUGCUCUCUUCUCCAAAGCCCUUCAUAAAGCAUCUCCACUAACAGUUAAAAUAACAACCCUGGGUUGGAUUCAGAGAUUCUGUGAGAAUGUCGUUACUAUUUUUAAGAAUGACAAGACAUAUGCCAACUUUUUUGAAGAAUUUGGAUAUUUUAGCGUCAUAGGAAACUUGAUUUUUAUGGUAAUUGAUGCCGCAUCUGACAGGGAGCCUAAGGUGAGAUCUAAUGCAGCUUCAGUAUUGGAGCUGCUUCUGCAAGCAAAAAUUGUUCAUCCCAUAUACUUUUAUCCCAUCGCUGACGUAGUCCUGGAAAAACUUGGUGAUCCAGAUAAUGAAAUAAAAAACUCAUUCGUGAGGUUGCUUUCUCAUAUUUUGCCCACGGCACUUUAUGCAUGUGGUCAAUAUGACCUUGGAUCAUAUCCUGCUUGUAGGCUUCAUCUUCUGAGAUCUGAUCAUAAAUCUAGCCUGCACUGGAAACAAGUAUUUGCCUUGAAGCAGCUUCCUCAGCAAAUUCAUUUUCAACAACUAAUUUCCAUUUUGAGCUACAUAUCACAAAGAUGGAAAGUUCCUGUUGCAUCAUGGACCCAGCGGCUCAUCCAUAGAUGUGGGAGAUUGAAAGACAUUGAUUUGAGUCAAAGUGAGGAGAUGGGGAACCUAGGUGCAAAUGGUUUAUGGUUAGAUCUCAGGCUGGAUGAUGAUUUUCUUAAUGGGAAUUGCUCAGUUAAUUGUGUAGCCGGAGUCUGGUGGGCCAUCCAUGAAGCAGCUAGAUACUGUAUUUCUCUACGUCUACGAACGAACCUUGGUGGGCCUACCCAGACUUUUGCAGCACUAGAGAGAAUGCUUUUGGACAUAGCACACUUGUUACAGCUUGAUAAUGAACAUAGUGAUGGGAAUUUAACCAUGGUUGGGGCUUCUGGAGCCCGUUUAUUGCCCAUGAGGUUACUAUUGGAUUUUGUUGAGGCCUUAAAGAAAAAUGUUUAUAAUGCAUAUGAGGGGUCUGCAGUCUUAUCACCUGCUACUCGCCAAAGUUCAUUGUUUUUCCGAGCAAACAAGAAAGUUUGUGAGGAGUGGUUUUCACGUAUGUGUGAGCCAAUGAUGAAUGCUGGAUUGGCACUUCAAAGCCAAUAUGCUGCAAUCCAAUAUUGUACGCUGCGUUUGCAAGAGUUCAAGAAUCUUGUUAUGUCACAUAUGAAGGAAAAGUGUAAUUUACAGGUCGGUGAAAACAUCCACAACACAAAUAAACUUACAAGAGAUAUCUCAAGGGUUUUGAGGCACAUGACUUUGGCUCUUUGUAAAAGUCAUGAAGCAGAAGCUUUGGUUGGUCUACAGAAAUGGGUUGAAAUGACAUUCUCUUCCCUGUUUCUGGAGGAAAGCCAGAGUCUUGGUAACUUUACACUAGGACCCUUUUCAUGGAUUACAGGGCUAGUCUAUCAAGCAAGAGGUCAAUAUGAAAAAGCAGCUGCUCACUUUAUCCACUUGUUACAGACUGAAGAGUCACUUGCUUCUAUGGGUUCUGAUGGUGUACAGUUCACCAUUGCUCGUAUUAUUGAGGGAUAUACAGCUAUGGCUGAUUGGACAUCUCUGGAAUCAUGGUUAUCGGAGUUGCAAUCUCUUCGUUCUAAACAUGCUGGGAAGAGCUACUCUGGUGCUCUAACUACAGCUGGCAAUGAAAUAAAUGCAAUCCAUGCAUUGGCACACUUUGAUGAAGGAGAUUAUGAGGCAUCAUGGGCAUGUCUUGGUUUGACACCAAAGAGUAGCAGUGAGCUAACUCUAGAUCCCAAGCUGGCUUUGCAGAGGAGUGAGCAGAUGCUUUUACAGGCACUGCUUCUCUAUAAUGAGGGAAGGUUGGAAAAGGUGUCCCAAGAAAUCCAGAAGGCAAGAGCAAUGCUGGAGGAAACGUUGUCAGUCUUGCCUCUGGAUGGCUUGGAAGAAGCAGCUGCAUUUGCUACACAAUUACAUAGCAUUUCUGCAUUUGAAGAAGGUUACAAGCUUACAGGCAGUGUAGACAAGCACAAACAGUUAAAUUCAAUAUUGAGUGUUUAUGUUCAGUCUGUGCAAUCUUCUUUUUGUAGAAUUAAUCAAGAUUGCAACCCAUGGAUAAAAAUUCUUCGGGUUUAUCGAGUGAUCUCACCAACUUCUCCAGUCACCCUUAAACUCUGCAUUAAUUUGUUAAGUUUGGCUCGUAAACAGAAAAACCUGAUGUUGGCAAAUAAUUUAAACAAUUAUAUUGAUGACCAUAUAUCAAAUUGUUCUGAUGAAAAGCAUUGUCUAUUUCUCCUUUCAAGUUUGCAGUAUGAGAGAAUCUUGUUAAUGCAAGCUGAGAAUAGAUUUGAAGAUGCUUUCACAAAUAUCUGGUCCUUUGUGCAUCCUCACAUCAUGUCUUUCAACUCAAUUGAGUCGAACUUUGAUGAUGGUAUUUUGAAAGCAAAAGCAUGCUUAAAACUUUCUCGUUGGUUAAAACAGGAUUUAGAAGCUUUGAACUUGGAUCAUAUUAUACCUAAGCUGAUUGCUGAUUUUAAUGUGACUGACAAAUCCUCUGUAAGAGGAGAAUUCUCCAUCUGUAGUGAGAACUUACAUUCUGGACCUGGACCAAGUAUAGAACUUAUCAUUGAGGAGAUUGUGGGUACGAUGACUAAAUUAUCCACUCGUCUUUGUCCUACAUUUGGUAAGGCAUGGAUUUCUUAUGCAUCUUGGUGCUUUGCUCAAGCUGAAAGUUCUCUCCAUACUUCAAGUGGAACUGCUCUCCGCUCAUGCUUGUUUUCUUCUAUACUAGAUCCUGAAGUUCAUUCUGAGAAAUAUAGACUAACUAAAGAUGAAAUCAUAAAAGUGGAACGCCUGAUUUAUGUUCUCGUUCAGAAAAGUCAUGAAGCAAAAAUUGUUAAUGAUGAUCGAAGAGAAUGGAGUUCUGAGACCUUAGAGGAUUUGAAACUUGAUGGCACUGUCAAGGCCUUGUUGCAGCAAGUAAUAAAUAUCAUCGAGGCUGCAGCUGGUUUGUCAAAUACUGAAAACCCUGGGAAUGAAUGCCUAACUGAUGUCUUUACUUCUGAGUUAAAGUUAUUUUUUCAGCAUGCUAGUAUUGACCUAGAUGACACUAGCGCGGUAACCGUUGUUCAGGACUUGGUAGAUGUUUGGAGGUCCCUGAGGAGUAGAAGAGUGUCUCUCUUUGGUCAUGCUGCUAAUGGCUUUAUACAAUAUCUUUUGCAUUCCUCUAUAAAAGCUUGUGAUGGUCAGCUGGCGGGCUAUGACUGCGGGUCAAUGAAACAGAAGUCUGGAAAAUACACACUGAGGGCGACAUUGUACGUUCUACAUAUUCUUCUCAAUUAUGGAGCCGAGUUAAAAGAUUCUCUUGAACCUGCUCUAUCAACAGUCCCACUCUCUCCAUGGCAGGUUUGAUUUCUGUUUCUGAUUUAAAUCAUUUUUGUUUUCCUUUUGGAACUAAUUUGAUAAUGUUGUAGUUUAGAACAUAUUUUUAUUUUAUGAUUCUAGGAAGUGACACCACAGUUAUUUGCUCGCCUGAGUUCUCAUCCUGAGAAAAUUGUGAGGAAGCAGUUGGAGGGAUUGGUGAUGAUGCUGGCUAAGCAGUCUCCAUGGUCUGUAGUAUACCCAACGCUGGUUGACGUAAAUUCUUAUGAAGAGAAGCCUUCAGAGGAACUUCAGCAUAUACUUGGUUCUCUGGUAACAUGAUUUCUUUCAUUAAUUUAAUUUCAUCAAGCCUUUUCAUAUUUAAUACAUUUUAUUUUGAUGAGGAGUUUUCCCCUCUGUUUGAAUGUCUUUAUUUAAGCUUCUUUUGGCAACGGGUGGGAAACUGCUCCUGACUGGAAAAAGGUCUUAAACUUAUUCUAUGUGUUGUCUGAUUAACUGUUGAGUGAUUCAGUCUUUGACACUAACUAAAUUAGUCAAUUCUGGGGCUCUUUAGGUCCUAAAUCUCUGACCUUUUCUAGCUGGGGCUAAAUUAUUCAGUUCACAUAUUUCCUCCAAAAUCAUAUCAGAAUUAGAUCAGUCUUCCGUAUUUGAUUUCUUGAUGGAGUCUUCAUCAGUUUGGUCUUUCUUUUUAUCCUUGCACAAUGUACCAUUAUAUGGUCUCUUCAAGAAAAUGAUAUUGUCUAUUAUAGCUUGAAAAGAGGGACCAUCUCCAAGAAGGAGUGAUGAAUUGAUCUUUUGUACAGGAUGUGAAUUGAUUGUUUGUAGAGGAGUUUUCAUGCUUAAGGAGGAAUAAUGGAAAAACACACAUUUAGAUUCCUGUUAUAGUGGUCUUUAUUUAAAGAAAGAGAAACAUAAGGAUUUUCAAAGAUAAGUUGAUGUUAUUGAUCAUGGUCUUGACUCUUGAGUGUCAUUUUGGCUUCUUUGAGUUUUAUUGACUAGGCUUUUAAAAGACACUUCUAGAGUUUUUUUGAUAAGAGUUGGAUGCCAGUUGUGGUGGAAUCCUUUGGAAAAGUGGGUAAGUCUUCUGUUUAUGGGGAAUAGAGGCAGUUAUUCAUAAUCCGCUAAGUUCAUAACCCAAUGCAAGAAUAUAUGAUGAUGGGCUGGUUUUGUUAUAAGAUCCAAUAUUAAUAUCUUAAAUACUGGACUGCUGGUUUGGAAGAAAAUAGGAAAAGGUAAGAAAAGAGUCUUCUUUCUGAGCUUGAAUCUUUCGAUGCAAAAACUAAACUCAAGGAGAUUUUUAAUCUUCAAUUUGAUAUAUAAUCUACAUUCAAAUGUGAAAUUAUGGAUUCAUAACUAUUGUUUUGGCUGUUUUUUCUUUCUUUUGUUUGAACUGUACUUCGAUUGUUUGCUUCUUUUCAUUUAUUCAUUGAAAAGUUUUGUUUCCUUUAAAAGAUAAACUAGUUGUGUUUUCGGUUAAUUUUUCUAUUUGUGGUAGAAUUUCUUGUAAUAUUUCUACUCUGAAUAUACUUUUGAAUGAUAGUUGGCUCCUUAUAUGAAAAAAAAUCAUCGGCUGCUUUAUGAAUCAUGUAGAAAAAUACCACCUUUUAAUAUUUUGCUGAUUAUACUACCUAGCAAAAUGCAAAUUCGAGUGCCUGCCUCCAUUUUAAAUUGAUAAACUUUCCAAUGGCAUGGUGCUUGUUUGUUGGAAAUGUUUUCGGUUUGAAUCAAUAAAUUCAUGGUUACAGUUGAAAAGCAAGAUUGUUGAAACAUGCUCAUGAUACCUGCAGAAAGAGCAUUAUCCAAGAUUGAUCGAAGAUGUUCAAUUGAUGAUAAAAGAGCUGGAAAAUGUAACUGUACUUUGGGAAGAGCUAUGGCUCAGCACACUUCAAGAUCUUCAGACAGGUGAGAAGCAUGAUUUUAAAUCUACAUAAUGACACUUUUACCUGACAUAAAUUAUUCUAUAAUGCAGAAAUUUGUUUUUGGUUGCCAACUCACCACAAUAAAUAUAACUUCAAGUUUGACCAUAAUUGACCUUUCACGUGAAAUUUAGGUGCCAAAUUUGACCUGUAGGUUCUGAGACUCAGGGAUAUCAUACCUGCUCUAUGAUUUGCCCAAGUUUCCGUUAUUACUGAAUUUCCUGCACUGAGUAGUUGCUGCGACAUAUUGUAACUAGCACUUCACCUUGGCAUGUUGUAACGUUCAAGAACAAUACCAAUUUGUAAAUUAUCCUUUAAUUGAACAUUUUUCUUUUGAUAAGAAACAACUAAGAUAUAUUCAGAAAAGUCCAACAGUCUAGGGUAAGGUUGAGACAACCCCCAAAGGCCAAAAAGAGCUAUACAAGGAGGGUCUUCCAAUCACUAAUACCAUCAAAAGGCUGUAAUUACAUAAGAAAUUAUUCUGUAAAUAUAUUCACCAAGAGGCCAUAUUUUGUGUCCUAUCACAAAAUUUUAAGAAGUGGAAGGGUGUAGAAUUAUCUUCGGAGGUUCUAGACUAGUUUCUUUCCUCCCAAAUAAGCUGCAAAAUGCUCUAAAGGUGAAACUACCCACCACUUUGGCCUUUUUCUUCAGAUUCUAAGCAGCCAGGCCUUCCAACAUCCAAUUGUCAAUGUUUUUAUGGAGACAAAACUGUAAACCCAGUAUUCCUGCAGCGAUCCAAUCUUGAUUGGCAAAAUCACAAUGCAAAAAGAGGUGGCCAAGGCCUUCUGCCUCUUUCAAGAGCAUUCUGCUUUCCAAAGUGGACAAAAACCACCUUCUAAACUUCCUUUGGAGUCUAUCAUCAUUGUUCAAAUUCCUAUAGGCUGAAGACCAAAACUUUAAUUUUCUGAUGGUUGUCAUGUUUUCAUGUAAGCGUAAUCGGAGCAGAGUUUAUGCUAUUGGGCUUGGAAGCAAGACUAAAGGUGGAGUUGGAAGAGUUUAUGUUACUUGAACACUAUCUGUUGUACAUCUGUCACCUUGAAUUAUGAGGAAUGCCAAUUUGUAAAUUAUUGAGAAUUUUGUUGAUUUGUUUUUCCUUAUACAAAGCAAAAGAUUGAGAAGUCUAUAUUUUGCAGAUGUUAUGAGACGCAUAAAUGUACUCAAGGAAGAAGCUGCUCGAAUUGCUGCAAAUGUCACUCUCAGCCAGAGUGAGAAAGACAAGAUAAAUGCUGCUAAGUACUCAGCCAUGAUGGCCCCCAUUGUGGUGGCUUUGGAGCGUCGUUUGGCUUCAACAUCUCGAAAACCUGAAACACCCCAUGAAACCUGGUUCCAUGAAGAGUAUAAAGAACAGCUGAAAUCAGCUAUUUUUACCUUCAAGAAUCCUCCAUCCUCUGCUGCUGCACUUGUUGAUGUAUGGCGGCCAUUUGAUGAUAUUGCAGCAUCUUUGGCAUCUUAUCAGAGAAAGUCAUCAAUUUCUUUAAAAGAAGUUGCACCGAUGUUAACUUUGUUAUCAUCAUCUGACGUACCAAUGCCUGGUUUUGAGAAGCAUGUUAUCUAUUCAGAAGCUGAUAGAAGCAUUGGCUCUAAUCUUUCAGGAACUGUUACAAUUGGUUCUUUCUCAGAGCAAGUGACUAUCUUGUCUACAAAGACAAAACCUAAAAAGCUUGUAAUACUGGGUUCUGAUGGUGAAACCUACACAUAUCUCUUAAAGGGUAGAGAGGAUCUGCGUCUUGAUGCUAGAAUCAUGCAAAUGUUGCAAGCUAUCAAUAGUUUCCUGUAUUCAUCUCAUUCAACUUAUGGUCAAUCUCUCUCCAUUCGCUAUUAUUCUGUAACUCCAAUUAGUGGUAGAGCUGGUCUCAUCCAAUGGGUGAACAAUGUAAUGAGUGUAUAUACUGUAUUCAAGUCAUGGCAACACCGGGUCCAGGUGGCACAACUCUCAGCAGUUGGUGCUAGCAAUUUGAAAAGUUCUGUACCUCCACAGCUUCCACGUCCGAGUGAUAUGUUUUAUGGUAAAAUCAUACCAGCACUCAAAGAGAAAGGCAUAAGGAGAGUGAUUUCACGUAGAGAUUGGCCUCAUGAAGUUAAACGUAAAGUUCUUUUGGAUCUUAUGAAGGAGGUUCCCAAACAACUUCUUUAUCAAGAACUCUGGUGUGCUAGUGAAGGAUUCAAAGCUUUCAGUUUGAAACUAAAAAGGUAUAACUAUUUUGGUUUGUGUUGUAACAUGCUAAACUUUCUUUCUGUCAAAUACAAACAAAGGGCUAAUUGGCAAAAAGUUGUUUUUCUUAUGCUUGCAUAUAGAAAUUUUUAGGUGAUUAAAGGUAUAAUUGUCCUUUCCCCUUUUCAGCAUUUUUCUUUUAUUUUUUUUUCAAAGGGGUAUUUUCCGGCAUGAUUUUAUUUAAGGACGUUUUCUACAGAAAAUUUUAGUUUAUCAAAGGAAUGAUUACCUUUUUUUUCUUGCUUCUUUCUUCUCCUUGAUCUUCUAUUUUUUUUCUCCUCAAAUUGUAAUUUUCUAUUUUUCUGUAAUACUUCUUUUCUGAACUACUCUCCAAUUACUACUGUUUUCAGCAUGAUUUUUAUUUAAGAUUGUUUGCCUUGCAAGUUGUAUUAUGAAAUAUAUAUUCUUCUUUUUUCUUGUAUUUGCUUAACUUUCUAGAAAGUAAAGUUUCAAUUAGGAUUUCUUUACAAAGAAAUAAAAUUUACUGGCAUGUUUGAAAAUCAGGUUUAACAACAGAAAACAUUUAAAAAAUAAAUAUAAUUAAUACCAUUUGUGUUUUCUUGUUUGGUAGAGUAUUUCAAAAACAAAUUUUUUGAAUAAAAAUCUGUAAAAAUAGUAUUUGUUGCAGAAAUAAGUACAAGGUAUUAGGUAUGUUUCCUCAGGAAAAAAAAGAACAUGAGACUUGAGAGUAAACACAGAAAAUAGGUGCAAGGUUUGAAGAAGAGAGAUCUUUUGUGAUAAAGGUAGACGGUGAAAUAUGUUUUGGAUGAUCCAGAGCUGAUAGUGGCUAGGAAAAUCUGAAAAUAACAUUCAGAACUUGUAAAUUUAAAAUUUGGAAUUGGUCAUGUUCAGUUCAUAAUUGCCUGCCAGCCAACAUUUUUGCGAUAAAACUAAAUUGAUGUUGAGCCAUUCUGUGACAGUUUUCCCUUCCUUUCAUUUCUUUUGAUUUGCAAUAAUCUAGAUUCAGUCUGCUAAUCUUGCAAGAUAUAAAAUUUGUUCUCUACUCAGGUAUGCUGGAAGUGUUGCAGCAAUGAGUAUGGUGGGACACAUCUUGGGCUUAGGCGAUAGACAUCUGGAUAAUAUUCUUAUGGAUUUCUCUACUGGAGAUGUUGUACAUAUUGACUAUAAUGUUUGUUUUGAUAAAGGCCAGAAACUGAAAGUGCCAGAGAUUGUUCCCUUUCGUCUCACCCAAACUAUGGAAGCAGCUUUAGGACUGACAGGAAUAGAAGGGACCUUCAGAGCAAACUGUGAGGCUGUGCUAGAAGUUCUGAGAAAGAACAAAGAUAUACUCCUAAUGCUGCUAGAAGUUUUUGUGUGGGAUCCUCUUGUGGAAUGGACCCGUGGUGAUUUCCAUGAUGAUGCCACUAUAGGUGGUGAAGAAAGAAGAGGCAUGGAGUUGGCUGUUAGCUUGAGUCUAUUUGCAUCUCGUGUGCAGGAAAUUCGUGUCCCCUUGCAGGUUCUAGUCAUUUCCACUGAAUGAUAAUUGCUUUAUUUCUAUUUUCCUCUCUUUAAUUAUAGUGUCUUUUCUGCUAGUAUUUCUAGUUCAUUUAUGCUUAUAAACCACCAAUCAAGUUCACCUAUAAAAGGUGUACAAAGAAGAUGACCAAUCAGCCAGAUGCUGUUGAGCCAAUCAUUUGAUUGUGUGAUAAUGUUGGCUAGUUUGAAUGGAAAUCAUGUAGGUGAUACCGACGAUAAAAGGGUCCUUGGAAGUAGUAGUUUGUUAUUGCUGUUUGUAUUAAGUUAACAGGGAGAGAGGUACUUGUAUGGGGGGAAAAAGAGAGAGAAGGAGAGGGUAAGCUGGGAGGGAUUCAGGACCAUCCAACUUCCUUAAGAACUAAUAAUAUUGAUUUGUAAGCCAUGUCUGAGAUUUUGACAUGCUUCAAGUCAAUUAAGUUAUUUGAUGUGUGCUAUUAUAUAUGUAUAACACCUAUUUCCUCAUUUAAAAGAUGGAAUUAUCUCUAUCACACCUUGAAAGUUCUUAAUUUUCAAAAUUCAUUUCUUAUUGUCCAGAAAAUUUUCAGUCCAUCUUGGUAGUGCUUUACUCACUCAGAAGUUAGUGAUCACAAAACAUAAAACUUGGACUCAUUACUGUACAAUAGAUGAAAUGUUCUUUUUUACCCCAAAAAAAAAAAAAAUACUGUACAAUAAUGAUUUAUUGAAUUGUGGAAUUCAAUACUAACCUAGGUUCCAUUAUAACUCUCUAAAUUUAAAAGAACUAAAAUGUUUUGAGUUUAUGUUUAAUAGAUUUUGCUUGUGCAAACUCAUUAUAACUCUUAACAUUUUCCAGGAGCAUCAUGAUCUUUUAUUGGCUGCCCUACCUGCUGCUGAGUCUUCUCUUGAGGUACUGUACUGCUUGACACUUGUAUCUUGUUUGUAAUUUCCUGAGCUUCUACCAUCUUCACUUGUUGCUUCCAUGAAUUUCUCUGAACCAAAUAAUCUAUUCCAGGGGUUUGCAAAUGUCCUAAAUCACUAUGAGCUUGCCUCUACGCUCUUUUAUCAAGCUGAACAAGAAAGAUCAAGCAUAGUUUUGCGUGAAACAUCAGCUAAGUCAGUUGUUGCUGAUGCAACAUCUAGUGCAGAGAAAGUUCGUACACUAUUUGAAAUGCAGGCUCGAGAGCUUGCUCAAGGUAAGGCUAUUGUUUCUGAGAAAGCUCAAGAGGCAUCAACCUGGAUUGAGCAACAUGGAAGAGUCCUUGAUAAUAUAAGGAGCAAUUUGAUUCCCGAAAUAGACAUGUGUUUGAAUAUGAGAGCAAUUGGAGAAGCUUUGUCACUUAUAUCUGCCGUUACGGUGGCUGGAGUUCCAGUGACAGUUGUACCUGAGCCCACUCAAGUGCAAUGUCAUGAUAUAGAUAGGGAGAUUUCUCAGCUUAUAGCUGCACUAAGCGAUGGACUUUCUUCUGCUAUAGCUACAAUUCAAGUUUAUUCUGUUUCUUUGCAGAGAUUUCUUCCUCUAAACUAUGUAACGACUAGUGUAGUUCAUGGCUGGGCUCAGGCUUUACAAUUAUCUAAGAAUGCCCUCUCCUCUGAUAUUAUUUCACUUGCUAGAAGACAGGCUACUGAACUUAUGAUGAAAGUAAAUGAUAAUAAUGAUUCUGUACAAGUCAGUCAUGACAAUAUGUGUGUUCAAGUGGAUAAGUACGCAAAGGAAAUUGCAAAAAUUGAAGAAGAGUGUACUGAGCUCUUGACCUCUAUUGGUACAGAAACGGAAUUGAAAGCUAAGGAUCGGCUUCUAUCAACUUUUACUAAAUAUAUGACGUCUGCUGGCCUUGUAAAGAGAGAAGCUAUUCCAUCUCUCCAGAUGGGACGAGUUACACAUGAUGGGAAAAAGGACAUCAACAUGCAGCUGGAGCUUGUGGCAGAAAAGGAGAAAAAGGAAAAGCUACUAUCUAGUAUUAACGUUGCUCUGGAUAUUCUAUACUGUGAGGCAAGAGGAAAAAUACUGGACAUUUUGAAUGAUAUGAAUGAUGGGAGACUAGUGAAUAGAACUACAUCUCAUGAUUUUAAUGUUGUUUUCUCCAAUCUAGAAGAGCAAGUGGAGAAAUGUAUGCUUUUGUCAGAGUUUCAUUCUGAAUUAUUGGAUUUGAUUGAUGUUAAGGUGCUGAGUGUUGAAAACAAAUAUAAAAGUUGGCAUAGGAAUCAUUCUCAUAGAAAUUGGACUUCUACUUUUGCUGUCAUGUUCUCUUCUUUCAAAGACCUGAUAGGGAAAAUGACUGAUGCUGUUCUACCUGAUAUAAUUAGAUCUGCUAUUUCGGUGAAUUCAGAAGUUAUGGAUGCAUUUGGGCUGGUCUCACAAAUUCGAGGAUCAAUUGAUACAGCACUAGAUCAGUUUCUUGAGGUUCAAUUAGAGAAGGCUUCGUUAAUUGAAUUGGAAAAAAAUUAUUUUAUCAAUGUUGGCCUCAUUACAGAGCAGCAGUUGGCCCUUGAGGAAGCUGCUGUAAAGGGCAGGGAUCAUCUCUCUUGGGAAGAGGCCGAGGAGCUUGCUUCAGAGGAGGAAGCUUGCAGGGCAGAACUGCAUCAACUCCAUCAAACAUGGAACCAGAGAGAUGUACGCAGCUCGUCUCUUGCAAAGAGGGAGGCUAAUUUAGUACAUGCUUUGGCUUCAUCGGAAUGCCAGUUUCAAUCUCUUAUCAGUGCUGCAGUGGAGGAGACUUUUACGAAAGGCAACACCUUAUUGGCCAAAUUAGUUAAACCAUUCUCUGAACUGGAAUCUAUUGAUGAAAUCUGGUCUUCCUCUGGAGUUUCUUUUUCAUCUAUCUCAAAUGGGAUUCCUACUUUGUCAGAUGUGGUGAGUUCUGGGUAUCCAAUAUCUGAAUAUAUUUGGAGGUUUGGUGGACAAUUAAGCAGUCAUUCUUUCUUUAUUUGGAAAAUUUGUGUUGUGGAUUCUUUCCUUGAUUCGUGCAUACAUGAAAUUGCUUCAGCCGUGGAUCAGAAUUUCGGAUUUGAUCAGCUCUUUAAUGUUAUGAAGAAAAAACUUGAGCUUCAGCUUCAAGAAUAUAUUUUUAGGUACCUUAAAGAACGGGGUGUUCCUGCAUUCUUGGCUUGGCUGGAUAGAGAAAGGGAACAUUUAAAACCACUGGAGGCAAGAAAAGACAAUUUCCAUGAACACCAUGAUGAACAAAUUAAAGAUUUGGAAUUUAUUGAGAGGAUCCGAUACAUGCUGCAGGAACACUGUAAUGUGCAUGAAACUGCCAGAGCAGCAAGGUCUACAGUUUCACUUAUGAGAAAACAGGUGAAUGAGCUCAAAGAAACUCUUCAGAAGACUAGUCUGGAAAUUAUUCAAAUGGAGUGGUUACAUGACAAUAGUUUGACUCCAUCACAAUUUAAUAGGGCCACCUUGCAAAAAUUUCUCUCUGUUGAGGAUAGGUUAUACCCUAUUAUUCUAGACCUUAGCCGAUCUGAAUUGCUGGGAAGUUUGCGAUCGGCUACUUCAAGGAUAGCUAAGUCAAUUGAAGGCCUAGAAGCUUGUGAGCGAGGCUCUCUUACAGCUGAAGCACAGCUGGAGAGAGCAAUGGGGUGGGCUUGUGGUGGCCCAAAUACUGGUCCGGUGAUAAAUACUUCUAAGGCUUCAGGGAUUCCUCCUCAAUUCCAUGACCAUAUCUUGAGGCGGAGGCAGUUGUUAUGGGAAACUAGAGAAAAGGUAUCAGAUAUUAUUAAGAUUUGCAUGUCUAUAUUGGAAUUUGAAGCAUCAAGAGAUGGCAUGCUUCAAUUUCCAGGAGACCAUGCUUUUAGUACAGAUAGUGAUAGCAGGGCAUGGCAGCAAGCUUACUUGAAUGCAAUAACAAGACUGGAUGUUUCUUAUCAUUCCUUUUCCCGUGAGCAAGCUUUUCUCUUUUAUGUUGAUGUUGUCUCAUUGCACUAUUAAGCCCUUUUGGUUCUAAAGAAAAAUUGUUUAGAUAUUUUUAAAAAAAUCCUGAAAUCCAGAAUAAUAUAAUAAUUAUCGUCAAAAUAUAUAGGUUCUGAAGAUAUAUGUGGUUUAUUAUCAAGCUUGAGAUAGUUACAAAGUGAAAGUUUAGUCCCUAGAUGAAAGAUAUAUUUUCUAGAAUUGUCCCCGGGAGUUAUAUUUUUAGAUAUAGUAUUUUUGGGGGUAGAAUUUGUUUCUUUAAAGAUGAUACUUGGGCUACAAUAAGGAAAUUUUUAUCUUUCAGGUUAACUGAUGAUUCCUUAUUCUUUGCGUCUUCUACUAGGUACUGAACAAGAAUGGAAGCUUGCAGAAAGAAGCAUGGAGGCUGCCUCAAACGAAUUAUAUGCUGCAACCAAUAAUCUUCGCAUUGCUAAUCUUAAAAUGAAGUCCGCUUCAGGUCAUGCAUCUUUCUGUUAUUUAAGCUGAGCAAGUACAUAGAUAUAUACACAAGCAUUACACAUUUUCCUCAUUUGACAUUUGACAUACGCAAGUUUUUAUCUUUAUGGUUUAUGCACUAAGAUUAUCCUUGUAUACAAUAUUUUCAACAGUACCUUUUGCUCAUUGCUUGAACAUAUUGGCUGUCUUUGUAGGUGAUUUACAAAGCACUCUUCUCAGUAUGAGAGAUUGUGCAUAUGAAUCAAGUGUUGCACUCUCAGCAUUUGGUAGUGUCUCAAGGAACCACACUGCAUUGACCUCUGAGUGUGGUUCUAUGCUUGAAGAGGUAACUGAAUAUAUCUAUGAAGCUCAGGAUUUGAUUUGAGGUGAUUGUGUCGCCAGCAAUAUUUCUGGAUUUGUUGUCAGGAUGUUGUUCCUUCAAAAGGAAAUCAGCAAGUCCUAAAAGGCACCUGCAGGCUUCAAUUUCACUAAUCUCUUUUACAGAAGACGAUAAUGGUUAACAUGGGGCCAACCUGAACAUAGCUCUGUUGAUUUGAAUCAACUUUUAUCAUAUCUCUGAUUGCCAUCAAUUCAUCUAAAAUAAUCGAUAUAUUAUUCUAUGCACAAUGCAUCCAUCUUUUUUUUGUAGGCUUAAAUUUCAGUAAUCUCUUGUAUGGAAGAUGAUAACUGUGAUUAACAUGAGACCAAUCUGAACAUUACUCAAUUGGUUUAAGCAUAUACCUUCGAUUUGAGAGGUCAAUGAUUGAAUCACCCAACAAGAUGUUAAACUGAAAAAAAAUAUGGUUGUGGGAAGCAAAAUAAAAUCGUUAAAGAUUUUCUAUGCUUUAUAGAUGAUUCUAAAAUUUGCUCUCAUUGGCAUCUUUUCCUUCACCUGUUUAUAUGAUUUUUUAAUUGUUUGCACUUAAGAUUGUUUGAUCUCUUUUGAUCAAGUAUAUGACAAAGUUCUUUUUCUGUUCAAAUGCAGCUAAUAUUUCUACAUUUCCUGUAGGUACUAGCAAUAACCGAAGAUCUGCAUGAUGUUCAUAAUUUGGGAAAGGAGGCUGCUGUAAUUCAUCGUCAACUUAUUGAAGACAUUGCGAAGGUAUUUUGAUCAAUCAUUUACGUGACUAAAUCCCAGUCUAUUUAAUCUAGACAUUCGUGCUGCAGAGCAUGAUAGAGUAGUCUGCUUCCAACUGUAGUCAGCUUAUAGCAUUCCCCAUGUGAAUUGAUACUGGUUAUGGUAUUUCCCAUUCCAGUGCCAUUGUUUGCUUAUUGUUUCACUUCUUAAGCAGGCAAAUUCAGUCCUCCUUCCCCUUGAGGCAAUGUUAUCCAAGGAUGUUGCUGCCAUGAUUGAUGCUAUGGCUAGAGAAAGAGAAAUCAAGAUGGAAAUAUCACCUAUACAUGGACAAGCUAUAUAUCAGUCCUAUUGUUUGAGAAUUAGAGAGGCCUAUCAGAUGUUCAAGCCUUUGGUCCCUUCUCUGACAUUAUCUGUGAAGGGUCUGUAUUCCAUGUUUACCAAGCUUGCACGAACAGCAGGUCUCCAUGCUGGAAAUCUUCAUAAAGUAUGAAUGGAGUCUAUAGUUCAGCUCGUUGAUUUCAUGAAUUAUUUUACAAUGCUUCUGAUGUUACUGAAUUUCCACCAAAUGUGAAAUCUACUUUUUCAGGCUCUUGAAGGACUAGGAGAAAGCCAGGAAAUUAAGUCAGAGGGAAUUCACAUAACUAAGUCUCAGUUCAAUAGUGAAGUAGAUGCAGUUGACUUCGAAAAGGAGAGAGAAAGCCUCUCCUUGUCUGAUAGUGAGAGUAGCGGAGAUAUCCCUGAUAUUACCAGACUUUCUUUGCAAGAUAAAGAAUGGUUAUCUCCACCUGAUAGCUUCUGCAGCAGCAGCUCUGAGUCUGACUUCACCACUAGUAGCUUUCCAGAUAGCUCCAACGACCUAACAGAGGAUAUGGGUCAACACUAUAACGGGUCUAGUGACAGAGAAGCUAGAGUUAUUCCAAAAAUUACCUCAUUUUCUCAAACUGACGUUGGAAAAAUGUUACGUUUGGAGGAGUCAGAAACAAAAUCCACAGAUGGUAGCCAAACCUGUUUUAGAAAGUUAUCAACCAAUGAGUUCAAUGGAGGAAUUAAAAUUGUUGCAACACCACCUGAUGAAUCUAUUGAAGUUCCUGCUAUUGCGUCACAUCCGUUGAAUGAGACUGUUGAAAGACUGGAGGAGGAAAGUGGUGUAACCUCAUCAGAUAAGAGAUUAGAAGAUGAAAAUCAAGAGGCUCCUCCAGCUCAGAAGGCUGCUUGGAGUCGUGCAAGCAGGGGUAAGUAGUGUACCUUCACUCAGACACAUAUCUAUUAUCCUUAAUUCCCAAUUAGCGUUUCCACUGCUGCACUAGAUGAUAUUUAUGAUUACAUGUUUUAUUUAUUGAUCGAUGUUCUUAAUGUUUUCAUUAUUUUAAAUUAUGCAUAUGUGGAUAGGGGAAUUAGCUAUUUUAGAACGGAAAACUAUCACAAAGAAUACAACUGUAAGGAAUCUCCACAAGAGUCGCAAUAUAUUAUCACGAUCCCAAAAUUCAAAGUUCAUACCAGUUCGAGAGGGUGGAUAUCUCCUUGCUGUAUCACCAUCUAAUACAAAAGAUAACAUAACCCAAAAUACAAUGACUAAAAAUAUUAUGUUGUUUUGUUUAUCUUGUAGUGUGCUUCUAAUGCGUAUUAAAUCAGAACUACUGUUCUUUAUUGCAUAUAAAUUAGCCUCAGUUCCUUGCUUUACUUUCGGAUUCAGUAAAAUUUGCUUUUGAUUAUUGGAAAGUCAGCACAAUUUUCUUGUAUAUGAGCUUUGCAUUCAGAGGGAAAACUGAAUCGUCCCCAUUUGAUGUGGCAUUGCAUAUUUCAUUCCAAAAGUUGAAGUCUUGUGUUAUGGUCCUCUCAGGUAGAAAUGCAUACGCAACGUCUGUUUUACGGCGUGUAGAGAUGAAACUCAAUGGAAGAGACAAUGUCGAUAACAGGUACCUACUCUUAACUUGGCGCUGUUGACAAUCUCUAUGCUGGAUUUCUAACUAUCUUUUAACUAACAGAGAACUUAGCAUUGCUGAGCAAGUGGAUUAUCUACUUAAGCAAGCAACGAGUGUAGACAACCUGUGCAACAUGUAUGAAGGUUGGACCCCAUGGAUUUGAAAUUUGAAGACCGAGGAAUCUUGGAUACCUGUACUGAUGGAUGGUUAGCAGAGGUUCGUCGAGAAAUACUAGCACCAGAUUCAUUAAUCCAGAACUUGGAAGAACAUGCUGGGGUAUGUUCAAAGUUACUACCAUGCGGGACCUCUUGUUUGCUGCAUUGGUUCGCCCUACAGCUGGAUUCAUUUCAUCAUAUGAAUUAUUCAGUCACAGUGUGAAAGAAAGUAACAGCGAUUGCUCGAAAAGCUGCGCAAGAUCCAUCUUGGCAUUUCCAUUACUGAGCUGUGCACAUGAACUAUUGACGAAGUGUCCAAACAGCGUUCACGUUCUUCACGUUCCAAUAUGCUGCCCCACGCAAGGUCGAGGGCAGGUAAUAUGGGCCACGUCUGGGGCUUCAAAGUUAUAACGAAACCAAGCUUUGGUCCAUUUGGCAUCUGAGAUGUUGCUUGGGAAUAUUGCAAUGUUGAUGCUGAGGAGUUGUGGGUUUUUGGUAACGAGCUAUUUACUGCGUGGAUAAUCUGAAGAAGGUAGAACAUCACUUCCGCAGAAGAUGAGAAAUUGCAUAAUGUAAUGAAUUAUUGUAUCAUUUAGGAAAAUGAUUAUUUAGCCAUUCAAAUAGGUUAUAUACUUUAUCCAUAACUGUGAAAAUUGGAAUGUAAAUGUAGACUGUAAAUGUCAUGAUAGUUUGUCACUCUUUGUUUUGUUGGGUUUUUACUUAUGUAUGGAUGUUAUGUGAUGUUAUUGAAGGCAAGUUGAUUAAUUUGGUCAAAUAAUUACAUUUUUUUUCAUGCCAGAAGAAACACCAUUUAGUAUAUUUUCAAAGUUUAUAACAAGAUUAUGCUAAUGAAAUUACUUAUUACUUAUGCACUACACCCAUCAAUUUAUCUGACUAUUUAUUUUUUUCAAAAAAGUUUUUAAAAUUCUUUUUUAAGUGAACAAUAUAUAAAUAGGUACAAUCCAACUUACAAUGUCCACGUCACCAACAAGGAUAGACUUGAAGUGAAGUAAUGAAUCCACAAGCAAAUGGUUUAGUCUCUUCCUAUGGGAAGUGAAGAAUCUCCCUUUUCCCAUAGAAUAGAAUUAAAAAUCCCUUUUCCCAUAGAAUAGAAUUAAAAAUCCCUUUUCCCAUAGAAUAGAAUUAGACAAACAAAUUAAAUGAAACUCAAAACUCAAAACUCAAAACCAACCAAUUCUAACAGUUUGUUAAGCACACAGAUAUAAAUCCAGUUUUUUGAAGCUUACUCUUUAAGUGAUCUUAUUUAUAUUGAAACUCUCAUGUUCCUCUAUUUUCCAUCAUCGCAAAUAUAUUUUCCUCUACUUCUUACUCUAGAUUCUAUUACUCCUCGUCAUGUCGGGGCUCGUAGACCUAUGGACUUCUGAGCAGGCUAAACUCCGCCACGAGGGUGGCUCCUCCCCCGCCGCUCCCACCGUUGAUGUGGCUGAACAAGGAAGAUGGAACUCCACUGAGUUAACUCGAGUUUGGGACCGAGUAAGACGACUCGGUAUGAAUGGGAAGAUGUGUUCUGAAGCUUCUGUUUGUAUGUUGGUUGAAUUUAUGAGUCCAUAGAGAUUCAAAACAUCUCACUGUACAUAAAACACUUUCAAUAAAACUUUCCUUUUUCAAUAUCUAUAAUUUGCCUUUAGUUACUUGGGUUAGAGAAUACGAGUAUUAUAUAUCAAUUCAAUUAUGUUCCUUUUGGCUUGAAAUACUAUUUUUAAUAUAACUAUGCGGUGGGGUGGGAAUUGAACUUUCGACCUUACCUUCAAUUUCAAGAAGGUUUGAAUCAAGAUUUGCCAUUUCUUCAACUUUCACUUUCACUACUAUCAUCCCAUGUAGCCUUCAUUGUCUUCUUCUUGGAUUUCUUAGAUGAUUUGAGGAGAGGACAAUCCGUUCUUAUAUGACCCAAUCUUUUGCAUUCAUAACAAAUCACCUCAUCUUUUUUGCUUUUCUCACCUUUUGACUCUUUUUAGAUUGAUAGGUGUUUCUUGAAAUAUUUCUUUCUUUUUAUGAAACUUUUGUAUUUACGUGAGAAAUAAGCAAUGUCAUCUUCAUCAAGGCCAUCCUCAUCUUCGGGAUCAACUUUCAAGGAGAUAGUCUUUAAUGCAAUGGUCUUUUUCUUUUUUGACUCAUCCUCCAAGUGUUCAUUCAUGAUGAUCUCAUGAGUCAUGAGUGAGCCAAUAAGCUCCUCUAGUGGAAGUUUGGUGAGAUCCUUUGCUUCUUGAAUUGCCGUUACCUUAGCUUCCCAAGUCUUAGGUAGAGACCUUAGAAUUUUUCUAACAUUUUCAGAAGUUGUAUAAACUUUACCAAGACCCUUCAAAGCAUUUAUGAUGUUAGUAAAUCUAGUAAACAUAUCGGUGAUAGUCUCAUUAGCAUCCAUCUUAAACAAUUCAUAAUUAUGAACAAACAUGCUAAUUUUAGACUCUUUAACUUGAUUUGUUCCUUCAUGAGUAAUUUCAAGAGUAUUCCAAAUUUCUUGAGCGGAAGAACACAUGGAUAUUCUAUUAAAUUCAUCUUUACUCAAGGCACAAUACAAACAAUUAAUAGCCUUAGCAUUUAAAGAACACUUUUUCAUUUCAUUUUCAUCAUACUCUUCUUCUAAUUUAGGCGUAUCAACAUUAUCAACAUUUUUCAUGGGUACAUAAAGACCUUUAGCAACAAUUAACCACAAAUUAUAGUCAAUAGAUUGCAAAUAAAUUUUCAUUCUUGCUUUCCAAUAUGCAUAAUUUGAAUCAUCAAAAUAAGAAGGUCUAGAAAUAGAUUGACUUUCAACAAUCCCAUUUGCCAAUAGGUUUGCUAUAAUGCUCUAACAAGAAAGUUUAUCAAGAAAUUAAAAUUUCAAGAUGAGCAACCUUACUCUGAUACCAAUUGUUGGAUCGGUAUGGCAGCCCUAGAGGGGUGAAUAGGGUUUAAAUAAACUUUUUGACAAAUAAAAAGUAAAAUCAACUAAUUAGAUAUUUUUUUAAUUUAAAUGAUUGAAAAACUUUGUAAACUUUGUUAAAUAAUCAAGAUUGAUAAAAAGAUAUGAAUGGAAGUAUACAAUCAAACUCAACCAAUAAGAAUAUGUAACUAAAAUUAAAUUAAAAAAUAAUUAGAAAAGAGUUAGAGAAGAAGACACCGUAAUUUUAUAGUGGUUCGGUUAAACUCAACCUACAUCCACUUUCCCAAGCACCUCUUGGGAUUUUGAUUGAAAAUCUUCUUUGGACUCUUUCCACGGAUUUGAGCCGAACCGAUUCUUGCUCCUUUUUCGGGUUCAAGAGCAAACCCGAUCCUUUCCACGGGUUAGGAUCCAACCGUUACAAUAUGUUGAAAUUUUUAAAUCACACAAAAGAAAACUCUCUAAAAGAGUGAGUAUACAAUUUGAAGCUCACAAAUUUAAUCCUCACAAUACAAUAAGAAGCUCUCAAGAAUAAGAUGAAAAGAAUAAAAAUUGGAAGCUUUAGGGAGAAUAACAAUGUUGGUUUUUUGCACUUUUUCAGGAUUGUAAAGAUUUAAUGAUCUUGUGUCUUUUUAAAAUUUGGGAAAAGUGAAGUAUUUAAAAAGAGAGAAAAGAUAAAUUCAAAAUCAUUUUGGGUCAUUAGAUAUAAGUAAAAGAAAAAUAAAUGAUUGAGAUUUAAACUCAAUUAGCCGUUAGACACAAUACAAAUAAUAAUAUAAUAAUAUGGCUUUUCAAAAUACUUUGUUUAAAAAAAAACCAAUAAAGCAACUUCACCAUUUUUUUUAAAAAAAAACUAGCCGUUAGACAAGGAAAAAUAAUAAUAUUAAAGUCAUUUUCUUUAUAAAAGCCAGUAAAACAUAACCAAAAGCCACAUUUGUUACUCCUUCAUUGCUCCAAGUGGCUUUCUCUAAUUGGUUCAAAUUGAAUGCUUGGUCGCCACGUCACCAUCUCGGGUAUUUUUUCGUUAAGCUUCUUUUAGCAAUAUUUUCUUCAUUUGAACUUCGAUUUGGGUGAUUCAAGAGGCGUUAGAAUCAUUUUUCCAAGCUCUACGAUAUGGUCUAUUCAAAUUAAUAAAAUUGUCAAUAAAAAAAAUCAGAUUUGUUAUCAUCAAAACAUAAAUUAAUUGAAUAAUUAAAAUAAAUUAAUUUGAGAUUAAGGGCCAAAAAGCCAACAAUCAACUCAAGUGAGAUCUUUAAAUAAGAACCGAGAUAACAUACUAAAAUACCUAAAAGGAAACGAUUGCUAGCCUACUCAAUAUGCAAAUGACAAUAAAAACAUAAUUUGUAAACAACAGUAAGCAAUAUUCACCUUAUUUUUCAUGAUGGCUUCCAAAGAUAUGAAAUGUGAAAGGAAAGAAGAGAAAACUCAAACAAUUGUAGAAAGUUUCUUGGGAGUUGGUGGUGAAACUUCUUGAGAUAACCAUUUCAUUUUUCAAUAUAACAAUUAUAUUUUCGGUUAUGAGAGCAUUUUCGUCACAACUGAAAAAUUAAAUCUGGGAUGCAUGUUACUAUAUUCACAAAAACUCGAGCAAAUCUCCAACAUACAAAUUAUAUUAUAUCUUGGGAUCGAUUAUGGUCGAGAUUUUUCGAAAAAAACAAAAAUGUAAUUUUUUUUAAACUAUGCUACUUUUGAAAUGUAAAACCUAAGCUGUGUUGUUUUUGUCAAUUUGUCAUUUUUUUUCUUACAAAAUUUCAUGUAAUGUUUCAUGAAACAAAAGGCAAAGCAAAAACAUAUCUAAAAUCAAAUCACAAACUCAUUUAUAAAUUUAUACAUAAUUUAUUGAGAAGCACAUGUUUUGAUUUAAUUUAAGAACAUGCGUUGAUUUUCUUUCUAGUAGGAUAAAAAAAAGUUCCAAAGAAGUUUAAAAAGUCUAACUUAAACGGACCAUAAAUCUACCUGUGAUUUUGUUUUUGGAUAAUUAAGGAUUUGUAGAAUUUUUUUAAGAAUAAUAAUUAAGUGUAGAGCAACAUUUUCAAAAUAUUGUAAAUUUAGCAAACUCAAAAUGGUUAUCGAGUGAUGGAUAUAUUAUAUUUCUAAUAGAUUAUUUUGACAGAUUUAACUAUAUUUGUAAUGUUUUAAGAUGUUGUUAUUUAUCCUAACAUUUUGAAUCUAAUUAUUAUGGUUUCAACUAUCAUAUGUGUUACUUUUUAGUAGUAUAAAUUUGGGUAAAGAAAUUUGAACGAGGUACGAAUCUUUAAGUUUUAGCUGUGAUGAAAUUUAUACAUAUACCAUCCAAAUUUGAUCUUUUUAAAUGAUAUUUUUUUUGAGUUGACUCAAUUUUAGUAUCAAUAUACUUUUAUAAUUCAAUUAUAGUCCUCCUACUUUCAAUAAAUUUUAAAUUUCACUACUAUGUAAAGAAAUUUACAUGAAAUUUAAAUAAAUGUCAUGACCAUUUUUACAUGAAUAAUUAAACAAUUGACUUUCAUGCAAACAAAUAUAGUAUGUGAAAUAUAUUUUCAAAAUUUAUAUAUAGUAAAAGGUUUUUAAAAAUGAACAAUAAAACUAGCUUUAUCGUUGGCUAAAUUUAUGAUUUAUUGAAAGUGUGCGUGGAUAAAAGUUAGAUAAUUGAAAAUGUAAGAACUAAAAUAUAACAAUUUUGAAGAUAUAGGGACGAAAAUGAAUUUUAACCGUCAUCAUUAAUAUAAAUUAAAAUGAUUAAUAAUAAUUUUAGUUAACAAUGUUCUACAUUAUAUAUUCCAAUUCGGAGUAUGAUUGUGUCAUUACUACUAUUCAUUACAAUAUUAUUGUACCAAAGGAUUAAAAUACUGAUAUGUCAUUGUUGAUAUCGAGAUUUCAAUUUUAUGAAUAUAUUAAUAAAAUAUCAAUAUCGACACAUAUUAAUUUCUAAAAGUUACAAAUUUUUUAAAUUUAUUUAGAUUAUUAAUUUUAUUUUUAACCCAAAACUAAGUUAUAUCCAUACAGUUAUUAGUAUAUUAAAUUUAUAUUAGAAAUAUUAGAUGUAUAUAUUGUCUUUUACGAGCAUUUAUUAAAGAUGUUGGAUAUAUCCAUAGAUAUUUAAUAUAAUUCAUAUCUAACUCAUUGACUUACAAAUCCAUCCACAAAUAUAUCGCAUAUGCAUGGAUAUAUUUUAAUCCUUCGUUAUACCUUCCUAAACAAAACAAAUGCAUAACACAUCUUUCUUCCAACAAUGAAAAAUUUCUUCCAGGUAAUAAUCAAUGUUAUCAAGGACAAAAGGUACAAAAGAUGAAUAAAUAAACACAAAUAUAUUUUUGUUUAAAAGUUUCAAAUUAAGAUUAUACAAUGUUAUUGAAAUACUAUUUGUAUUCCUUUUUUCGAUCAAAUGUAACAACAACAAUCUUUUUCAUUCGAAGAGCCAUCUAACUUGGGAUAGCAAAACCCACCAUUUUUUGUCUGUUUGAGACAAUCAUUAUUACACGAAACAUUAUCGUCUGGGUUUGAGCAGGGUUUUAUACAACUCAUGAAUAUAUCUCCUUUUGCUGCCAUAUGAUAAAAUACCAAUAUUGUUAAUAAUAUAUUUUUCAAUUGAAAGAACAUAACAUUAUGAAACUAUUAGAAGGAUUAUGAGAGAAAAACAUACUUGAUAAGACAAAACAUGUGAAUAUCAUCAAGAUAACGAUGAACACCGUAAAAUUUUUCUGAUUUGCCAUGUCCUUUAGAUGUUAUUAACGUGUUUAAAAAAGUUCGAGGAGAACUAAUUUAUAGUAUCUUAGCAACAAUAACUAAAAAACGGUACGGUGCUAAAUAUGUCGUUAAAAACUCAAAUUGAUUUUGUUAAUUUAGUUUAUAAAAACUAAAGUCUAUAUGGAAUUUUUAGAAAAAUAGAAAGAGAUUGGUAAUUGAGACUAUUUUUAGAAAAAAACUGAAAUGAUAAAUUACACAUGAAUUGAUCCUAAAAGUCAUCUGAAGAAAAAUAGGGUUAGCAAUGUGAGGGGGAAUGGUAAAAAAAAAGAAAAGAAAAAGAAAAAACCAAAUCGAUCAAUUACAACCCACUAAAGAUCCAUAGCAAGCCAUCAAACUAAACUACGAAUGUGAUUGAUAACUCCCUCAUAAGUGAGUUAUUAAGUCCCAAAAGGCUUGACUAUCAAGUAUAAAACAUGUGCAUGUCUUGUUAUAUUUGAUCACUUUAUGACUAAUUUUAUGCAAAAAACCAAGCUACUCAUGCAUGUCUUUUUGAGCCUUGAUUAGCAAAUUAGUAACGUAAAUUAUGUACAAAAAGAGUCCAAUCUUUAGUAAUUCUUGAGUUUAUAUAUCAUUUGAAAUUGUUGCUGUAAUUUUUAACAAAUAGAAAGUUCCAAGAUUUUUGAGAUACGUUCAUUCUUUUCAAAUUCAAUAAAAUCAUAUAAAAAAAUUUGCAUUUGAAUAAUUUGAAUAUAUUCAAGCUAAAUCGUGUAGGAAAAAGUUGCAAGGUGUUCUAGAGAAACAUUAUUUUCUUGAAAAUCUUUAAAAGACGUCGUUUCUGCUUUCCAAUGCAUCACUGAACAUCAAACUCAUGCUAUCUAGAAACUCUAGCUACCGUUUUACAUGUUACAUCAUUCACAGUUAAUAACCAUACCCUAAUAUAAUGGCCGUUGUUGUUUUUGAUUCUUUUCAUCCUUUUCAAUUUUCUUUUGGGUGCUUUCUUUACAAGAACAAGCAUAAGUACUAGCCAUUAUUCAUCUUGAAAGAGAGCUUAGGAAGAUCAAUAGGCAAGUUGAGAAUUUAUCUUGUACUUUUACAUCUCACAUAUUUCAUACAUUCGUUUUCAUCCAUUUAUAAUAUGACUUCUUCUCUUCUUUGCUUCUUGAGUUCCUUAUUUUUCAUUAUGAGCUAAACAUCAUUUUAGGAUUAAGGAUAUACUAAGAAUGUAAUAAAUCCUCCACACGUGUCCUAUUUAAUUACCUUGCUCAACAUUUAUUUUACCUUCGAUUUUAUUGAUUUUAUGCAUUUUUUGAAUUUUGAUUAUCACAUAAGUUGGCAUAUAAUGUUGAGUCUUGUAUCAAAAUAGUUAGAUAAUAAAAUGAAUUAAGAAAAAUAAUAUAGGACAAACAGCUAGAGCCCUAGAAAUAGGGUAUAAUGCCUAUAUGAUCAAUAUUGAAUUGGAGUUAACCAUAUCUUAAGUUGUAGUUAGUCAUAGAAAUAGGUGUUUCAUUGCAUAGUCCUCUAAAUGUUCUUCUUUAUGGGAGUUGGCUCCAUUUGAUUUGGUUAAGUGUCUACGUUGUGUGCACAAUCUCUGAUCGCAUAUAGUUUAACUCCGUUUGUUUUUUUGGGGUCGAUUCUGGCUGAGAUUGCCUGAGAAAAACAAAAAUGCAAGUUUUUUUUUUAAAGUGCGCCACUUUUAAAAUAUAAAACUUAAACUGUGUCGUUUUUGUCAUUUAUUUCUUUUUUUACAUAUUUUGUCAUUUAUUUUCUUUCCAUGAAACAAAUGGAGCAUAAAUAUAUACAAAAUUAAAUCACAAAUUCAUUUAUAAAUUUAUACGUGAUUUAUUGAGAAGCACACAUUUUGAUUUAAUUUAAGACAUGGGUUGAUUAUCUUUCUAGUUGAAUAAAAAAAGUUUCAAAUAAGUUUAAAAUGUCUUUUAACUUAAAUGUACCAUAAAUCUACGUAAUUUUACUUUUGGAUGAUUAAUGAGAGGUAGCAAUUUUAGAAACAAUAAUAAAGUAUAGAUUACUAAAAUUUCAAAAUAUAAUAGAACACUAAAAUUUCAAAAUAUAAUGUUGUAAAUAUAGCAUCUCAAUAUGGUCAUCUAGUGAUGGAUAUAUUAUAUUUUCUAAUAUAUUAUUUUGGUAGAUUUUGACAUAUUUAACUAUAUUUACGACGUUUUAAAAAUGUUGUUAUAUAUGCUAAUAUUUUGAAUCUAAUUGAUAAAAAUGUUAAUAUAUACUUAAUUAUUAUUCAUAAAAUUGGUAUCCAUUAUUAUUACAUAAAAAAAUGUCAAAAAUAACAAAUUUAACAAAACAUAGCAAAAAAUUUCAGACUUUAUCACAUUGAUAGCAAUUGAUAAGUUUCUAUCAGUAACAUUGUAGAAAUCUAUCGGUAAUAGAUUUCAAAAUUUUGUUAUAACUUGUAAAUAUUUUAAUUUAUUUUACUAUUUUUAAAAAUGUAUUAAAAAAAUAUUGUCUAAUAAUUACUUUUUUGUUUCGUGGAGUUUGAAACAUACCGACAUAUUUAUUUCAUCAAUAAUAAUAAUAGGAAAAAUAUCCCAUAUCAAUAUCUUAUUGAUAAAUUAUAUUAAUCAAGUUAGAGCUCUUUAAAACUAUAAAAAUUUAAUUAAAAUUAUGUUCAAAUGUAGAUUUUGUUACUUUGAUCCUUUUGUACUUAGGAUCAACAUUUUGAAAUGGAUUGUACUGAAGAUGGGAUGAUGAAACAAUCUAUAUCAUUAUUACAAAGAGGCAAAUGGCUAAAGUAGGGUCACUUUUGAAUGUUCAAUUUAGACACUGACUUGGUGUUGGGGAAGGAUGAAAACAUUAGCAGACAUGUGGAUAUACUUGAUGAUAUAUCUAUAAAUUAAAAUAUAAUGUUUGAUAGUGAUAUUAAAAUAUUCACGGAUAUCUCCCACAUCUUCUAUCAAUAAUAAUGCUUCUAAAAUAUAAAAAAUACCAUUCUAAUGGUCUAGAAAUGUGAAUAAGAAAUAUACUAAUAACAAUAUCCAUAACUUAGUAAAAACAACUUAAUUAUUAGUCUACUUAUAAAAUCCAUUAAUAUAAGAAAAAGAAAAUUGAAAUCUUGAUAAUAAUAAUAUCGACAUCAAUAUUUUAAUUCUUUGUAGGUCAAUACCAUAUUGGUUAGAAAAGAGACUUUAUGAUUAUGGUCGAGUAUAUUUUAAUUGGUAUGAGAACUUUUGGAUGGUUCUAAAAGUAAUAUCACAAAAAUGUUUAUAUCCAUAAACAAUAUCAUAUCAUUGUAGAGAUAGAUGAAAUGUUUUAUUGUCUACUGUGAUUUGUCCUCGAUCAUAAAGUUUUAUAAGUAAAUUGGAUAAGACUCGACUUUUCCUUUGUUUUUGUUUUGUGUUUCUAUUCAUUAUUGUGUUAUUUGUUUUCUAUCUACCAAAAAAGGGGACUCCUUUUAGUUUGAAAAAGUGCAAGGGUGAGAUUGAAAUGAUCCCUCGAAGUAUUUUAUAGUGAUAUUUUAUUUAUCGUAUUAUAGUCCAAUCAUAUCACAAAAUAUAUAUAUAUAUAUAUAUAUGAAAAUAUUCCAAUAAUAUCACUUAUAUCACCAAUAUGUUAACCCUAUGUCAUUAAUAUUCAUUAUUAAACUUUUGUUUCCUUAGACCAAUAGUUGUGAUGGUUUCUACGUACCUACUUUUUGUUAUGUAUAGAAGAUAUAUAUUAGCUCUAUGUAUGGAAGACGUGAGGGAUAAAAGGUAAAUCAUUAAUAAUCAGACAACACCCUAAGUUUAGGAUUCUUCUUCUUUAGAUUUAGUCACGAUUCAUCCAUGUUCCACUCUUAGUUAAACAUAGAGCUUUAUUGUUGAUGAAAAUUUUCUAAAAUGAGUUUUUCUAAAUAUGUACAACAUUUAAACAAAUCAGUUCUAUUUUAAUAAUUAAAAUCGUUGGGGCGUUGAGCUCUAAUUAGGCAUUGGUUGAUGCGUCACUUAAGUGAGGUCUUGUGAUAGGACAACAUUUGAUGCAUUCCUUAAGUGAGGCAUUGUGAUAGGACGACCAUUGAUGCAUCACUUAAGUGAGGCGUUGGGAUCAACUAAUGAUCGUUGAAAACCUUACACAUUGGAAAGACUUGAUGUGUUCUUAAUUGAACGUUGAGGUCAACUAUAAAUGAUUGAGGCCAACUAUAUAUAAAUUAUUGAGGCAUUAUACAAUAAACUCAUGAUUGUUUGAACUCAAUCUCUAAACAAAGAGCUUCUCUUUCUCACAAUUUCUCUCAAUCUUCUCCCUCUCUAUUCUUGGUUUUUGAUUAAAAAAAAAGUGUUUUGGCUAGUGUAGCUACAAUCGAAAUUUUGACGCUCUAAGCAGUGCCGCGAAACAUCUUAAAAUUGUUUAAUCUUGAGAACUUUUGCUUGUUUGUUCUUGAACCACAUUUUAUUGGAAGAAGUUUCACAUUAUUAUACCAUAUGUAACAUCUUAGACUCAUUAUUCGAAAUUCAAAUUUGACACAUAAAAUUGCCUUGACAUCGACUCAAUACCAUCUAAAUAAAAUAAUUCAAAAUUUUGCAACAUUUCCAUUGCUAUACAACCUCAAGUGGUGCAAUAUAAUUAAGAUGGAGACAAUGGUAGUGAGAGAGGGAAAGUCGAGGAGUUUGGCCAUUUUUGAAGGUUAAUUUGUUUGAUUACUAUAAGGUCUUCGGGCGGCCAAUACUUUGUAUAAUAAUGCCAUUCUUAUGUGUCCUUUUUCAACUUAUAUGAGACAAUUUUUUUCUUUUUUUUGAAUAAUUCAACCAAAUAUUGAAUUUGUAACACAGUUUCUAGGAUCUUGACGAUGAAAUUGAUAUCACAUGUUAAAUCUUUCAUCUCUUUUAUCUCUAUCUCUAUCUCUACUAUAUUCAAAGUGUAAGUUGGGAGAAUUUUUACAUUUCCAUAUUUACUGAUUCUCAUUUCGGGAUUAAAGAACACCAAUGGAAUCAAAAUUUGAGUGAAGAACAACUUUAAUUUUAUCUUCCAUCAUUCGCUUACUUGUGAUUUUCUCUACUAAACUCUUGCACAGGAUUUUUAAAAGAAGAAAGCAUAAUGCAAAAACUGCUACUGUGAAACAUUUCAUUUAUAAAAAGUUGGCAUCCUUUCCAUAAAGAAUUAAUAGUGGUACGAAUGAAAGGGGUGAAUAAGAAAACCAAUUACACAUAUUUAUGUGAAAAGGUGGGCGUUAUAACACAUCUUUGAAAGAGUGGAGAGUAAAAUAAGUAACUUUUUUUUAUAAAAAAAGUGAGGGUAAAAAAAUUCUCACAUUUAGUUAACUAAUACGAUAUGAACUAAUCGAGUUCACAUAUAAGUGCGAUUCUACAUCUUUUUUGUUUUACUACAAAGAUAGCAAAAUUAAUUGUAAUCACCUUCUUCUAAGAAAGAUUUUGUCUAUGAUUAUGUUGGUAUUAACAUCUAUGAUUAUGUACUACAUAUAUAUGAAAUAAAUUUUUAUACUUAUGCAAUUAAACAUCCAUUUGUUAAAACAAAAACAUUAAAACCUUGAAUUAUUAGGAGUUAUUAUGUUAGCUGACCAUUUAAUUAUUUAAAUAUAAAAACAAUCUAUUUAUUUUAAUAAACCACAUUUUAAGUGGACUAAAAUAUGAUACUAAAACAAACAUUUUAAAAAAUUAUUAUUUUAGAUAUUUAAAUUCUACACAUACACACAACACACAUUAACUAAUUAAUUUUCAAAACUAAAGCUAUUAUUUUAGAUAUUUACAAAUAUAAUAUCUAAAAUCAACUCAAAAACAUCCAAAUUUAGAAGAUAUUUAAAACUCAAAUUCCAGAAAAGCUCUAACCCUUUUUCUUUUUCUUUUUCUUUUUCUUUUGGGAGAAUAUAAACAUAAAUAAUAUCAAGCAAAAAAGUCCAAAUCCUAUAUCAAUAUCAAAUCAAAAGAAAAUUUUGUUAAAGAAAGAAAGAAAGAAAGAAAGGCUGAAUUAUUCAUUUAAUCAGGAUCUCAUAAUUGAAAUAUUUGAUUUAAAGUAUUUUAAUGUGAUGAGGAUCCCACCACACAACCACAUCACCAUCCUUAUCAUCUUCUCUAUCUUUUCUUCAAAUUUCCAAACAAUAAUGCAAAAUUGAAGUCCCCACACGCAACCUCCCUUUCCCAUCACACAUCUCCUCUUUCUUUCUUUCUUUUCCCCUUUCUCUUCCCAUACAAACAUUAUUCUGUGUGCUCUGAAUUAUCUAGUCUUUUCUCUCUAUUGAAUCUGAAAUUAUUAACUAAUCACGGUUAAAGUUAUUUCUUAAUCAAAAUCAUCACUAAUUUAAAGUUACAAACACAUGAGUUGAUAGAUUUCGAAUCUCACAUGUUUUCACUCUAACCAUUUAAUCAAAUAAAAUAUUUUGGUAGUUGAGUUUAAAGAUAUAUUUAAUUUGGUCCAAAGACAAACUAAACCCUACCAAAUUUAAGACUCCCGAGCUUUAGAAGUCUUCCAAUAAUUAGAAUACUCUAUAACUUAUGAAGUUGAAAACUUCUUAAAGAUACCAAGUUUUUUGAAGAUAUAAAUACUAUUCCAAAGCUUGAUUGUGAAAAACUUUUUUACGUUAUUCAUUUUUUCAAAUCAAGUAUGUACUUUAAUCAAAAGAUAAAAUACUAAAAAUUAAAUAUUAAAUAAGUUCAACUCCAAAAAAAACAUCUUUUCUUUCACAAACAUCAUUCAAAUUAUAAUUAAUAUUUUUUUCAAAUCAUAAUUAAUAUUUUUUUCUAAUUAAUAAUUAUUAAAAAUUAUUGUGAGUUUGAAAAUAGUUUAACUAGUUAAUUAGUUUAGUUACAUAUAUGUUUGAUUGUGGUUAAAUUUGGAAUUUAGACUCAUUGAUAAGUAUUAAGCUAAGAAGUAUGUUUUCUAGUCUUGUGUUUUGGGUUGUUCACCAUCACAUAUAUUAUAUACACAUAUAUUUUUUUUUUUAAAAAAAAAAGAAACUUUUUGCCUUUUGAAAAAGUAACCAUAUAAUUUUUUUAAUGGUAGACAACAAAGUUGGAAAGUACAUUUAUAUAUAUAUACAUAAUGGUUUUUUAGGAAUAAUAAUAUGUUUUAGUUAAAAAGAAAAAAAGAAAAAAAAAAUCUAUGUCCAUUGUGUAGAAUAUUCGUAAACCAAAUUCCAUGUGCCAACUCACCCUCAAAUUCCAUCCACCUUCCCUAUAUAAAUCUUCUCCGCACCCUUUCUCAAAAUUCCAUUUUACACAAAGAAAAAAGAAUAACAAAGUAAAAAUGUCGGCAAUGGUAGAGUCAUGGAUGAACGAACUGGGAAAAUGGAGAAACAGAGUUGAAGCUCAAGACAACAACAACAAGAAGCCAUUGAUGCCCAAAUCCAAGCAACUCCAAACAGAUCACUUCAAACAACCCGCCAAAACCCAUAUGGCGGAUUCCGACGACACAGAAACCUCCGUCCUCUCUGAAUCCACCAUUUGUUUGCUCAUAGAUCGCUUUGCUCCUUUAUGAUUAUGCUUUCUUUCAAUAAUUCCUCUUCCUCUCUUUUAAGUUUUACUCUGUAUAUUGCUGAAUAUAUAUCUAAUAUAAUUGUAAAGGAAAUAGUAAUCUAGUUUUGUCCACUGCCACCUUGUACGCCUGCCGGCCCAUACUGCUUGUGAUGCUCUGUUUCUACAAUUCCUCUUUCCUAUGUUUUCCUUUGUAAUUCUAUGUUGAAUAUAUCUUAGGGUAUGAUCUGUAUUUUUCUCACCGCCGUUGCCAGAUUGGAGAGAUGAGGAGUCCGGUGGGUGGUAGCGGCGGUGGUGGUGGUGGCCGGUUUGGAGACUUUAUGGCUUUCUCCUUUUCAAUUAUGCCUUGCAGAAUUUCUGUAUAUAUUUCUUUAAUCAUUUUUUUCUAAUUAAUAAGAUUUUGCUCUUCCUUUUUGUUGUUUGAAGUAUUAAUAUAAUAAAAUUUACCAUAAUUGAAGUUAUCAAAUUUAAUUUUUAAAUUAUGGCAUAUUAGUGUAAAUCCAUUUUUAUAGUUGUAAUUAAUGAGUGUAAUUUGAAUGUAGAAUAAGAAAAAGAAGAGCAAGAUCCAUUUUGUCAAGUUAUUAAUUCUUUUCUUUAUCUUAUCUUUUCGUGAUUUCUCCGUCUCGACUUCUAGAAUUUCUUUCUUUUUUCAUUUCUUAAAAUUCUCAUCGAAUCGAUUCAAUAAUGUUUGACAUUUCUCAUAUAUUUUCUCUUUCAGAUUUAAAUGAUCGUAUACCAACUUUUAAAUGAUAUUGGUUCAAGAUCGUAUACAAAAUAUAAAAGAUCUUGGCACAUAAUUGUAAAUCAAUAUCGUUUAGAUUUUAUACACGAUCGUUUAGCUCUUGGUACUUGAUUGUAUAUCAAUAUCUAAACGAUCUCGUUUCACGAUCGUUUAGAAGAAGAAUUUCACACGUGGGUAUUACUUAUUAAUCGCAUGUUGGUUGGAUAAUUUGGUAUUUUCCUUUGCAGAUUUUUUCCGUUUUUCAAAAGUAUUUUAUACCGUGUAAGUAUAUUGCUCGCUUAUUAUAUUUUUGAAAACCUUCCAGAUUAAUUUACUGUUAUCAAACACAAACACGGUCUAAAAAAGUUAAAUUUUUUAAGUUUGUGUUUAUAACUUAUUUGUAUUUUGUAUUUAGCAUUUCUACAUCUAAAUUUAGGAAGAUAUUAAUGACAUCUCUCCAGUCUAAUUUAGUUUUUCUAUCUCAUAAUUAAUUUAAACUCAUUUCAUACAUCACUAAAACCGCAUGCAUAACCAAAUACUAUUUCUAAUUCUACUAUUUGCAUGACGACAUGCCUCGUCAACCUACGUUUAAUCAAUUCAAAAAAAUUUAAAACUAGUAUCAAUUACCAAUUUUUUUCUAUUUUUAUUUAAAAAAUUUGUUCUCUAGUAGAUAUAUUAGUUUUCAAAAACUACUUAACAAAAUAAUUUUGGAUUUUAAUAGCAUGUUUAACACCCUCGUUUUUUAGCCAUUGUUUCAAAAACACUAUAAAUACGUUCUCAUCAAACAUUUUUAGACUCACCUUUCUCAACCGCGUUAAUCGCUUAGAAGCAAAACUAGUGACAUCUAACAAGCAUGGAAAAUCAAAAACCUUUUACAGUCUCCAUUGUUGUGAUGGUGAUAUUCGCAUGUUUUGUUUUAUCAAGUAUGCUCUUAUUAUCUCAUAACCCCUUCUUAUCUCAUAAUGGUAUGUUCUUUUGCGUGAAAAAAAAAAAUAUUAACAAUUAAUAUUGAUGUUUUAUCACAUGUGGCAGCAAAAGGAGACAUGUUGUUGAAUUGUAUCGGGCCUUGUUCAAACCCAGAUGAUAAUGUUUCGUGUAACAACGAUUGUCUCAAACAAACUUAAAAACAGUGGAUUUUGCUAUCCCAAGUUAGAUGGUUCUUCAAACGAAAAAGAUUGUUGUUGCUAUAUCUGAUGAUGAAACCCAAAAAAAAAAAAAAGUUGUAUAACCUUGAUUUGAAAUGGUUAAACAAAGUCAUAUUGAUAGAAAUUCAUGUUUAUUUAUUCAUCUUUCGUACUCUUUUGUCCUUAUAAACAUUAAUUAUUUUACCUCUUUGAGAUAGUUGCAAAUGUUGCAAUUAAAAUUAAAUAUUAGCAUACAUAACAACAUUUUAAAAAAAUUUGCGAAUGUAACAAAAUUUGUCAAAGUCUAAAAGCGAUAGAAUAAAUUUAUCACCGAUAGAUUUUGCUAUAUUUGCAAGUUUUUUAAAAAUGUCUCUAAAUGCUUAAUUGUUAUUGCUAAAAUUACUACCUAUUAUAAUUACCCAAUAAAUUUUUAUUCAUUAUUGUUUAAAGAAAGAUGUUAUGCAUUUGUUUGAGAAUGUGCAAUAAUGUUGUUAUGAAUAAUACUAACGGUCGUGCAACGAUAUUUGUAAUAAGAUGUAGAACAUCGUUUUUGAAAUAAUAAUUGAGCGAUCUUUUAUGCUAAUAUAAUAAAAUGAUGUCAAUAAAAUAUUGCAUUAUUACUAAAGACAUGUGAGCAAAGUAGCACAAUUUUUAAAAACAAAACCCAUUCAAAAUCAAAUGGCUAUCCAACAAUGCAUUAAUACCCUAAAUUUAAAAUUUUCGAACAUUACUAAAGUGAAUAUAAGUUAAUUCUUUAGCUCUACACUAUACUCUAUAAGAAGAUCAAGAAUUUACAAGCACUUGAAUUGUGCUACACUAUUUUAUUCUAUAGGAAAUAACCAAUGAAAUAUAAAAUGCAUUUUUCAAAUAUUUGAUUAGCUAUGUGAAGCUGCUUGCAUCAACACUAGUACAUGAAAUUUCAGUAAUGCUGAUGUUAGGUUUGUCAACUUGCCAUUUGAUUAUUUCCCUUGCAUAUCUCAAAGCAGCAUUCACAUUUUCGGGCUCCAUCCCUGUUGUUUGUGAAACAAACAACUUUUUAUCUGUCAAAGAACAAAACAGUCUCUUGAAUUUCACUGCUAUGUACUGAAACGCUCGUUGUGCCAAUGUCGGGUUCGUGCUGCUGCUACUUCUUCCAGUGAUCAUUGGAUUGAAGUCAACAAACCACUCACAUUGAGCAAGAGGAGCGUGGAUGAUCUUUUCUUCGAAGAGAUCAAACUUGUUCAGUAUGAGAAGGAAGUUCUUUCCUCUUGAGGCUUGAUGUGUCACAAUGCUUUCAAACAGUUGCUUGCUUGCGAUCAUUCGGUUCGUUAGAACUCCGUUAUCAUCCUCGUCAAAUUCAUCGUAGUCUGUUAAAUCCACACAAAAUAAAAUUAUUUUUGUGUCGUCAAACAUCUCCAACAAUUUGCAGUUUUCUCCUAGGGUACUGGAAUGGACUCGAAUCAGCUGGUACCUAAAAGAGGAAGGAAUCGGGUUUUUUUAGCUGAUGAUAACUUUAUGCGACUGUAUGCAAAAAUCUAUGCAAAAAGCAACCUUAUUGACAGAUCGUGCUGAUAAGGAGGGUCGAGAAGGGAGUCUUGUCGUGACUCAGGGAACGUGAACUCCAUGCUACUGAGGCUGUUGCACGAGGUGAUUCCCUCAGCGUACAAGAUAUCAUUGUCAGAAGGGUCAUACUCUAUGCUUGAAAUGUCAAUUGCCUGCGUUGAUAAAGAAAUUUACUUUGGUAAAGAUGAUGAUCCUGAAUCAUGAUCAAUAGUCCACUAUUCAAAAGCAAGACACCAAUCAGGGGAAAACUAAUGAAAUUUGACAAACAACUUGAAUUACAUCAAGGUGAACCCACCCAUUACAGGAAAAAGAAAACUUAAAUCAUUGGAAAAAAAAUGUCACCUUUUAAUGUUACUGCAUAAUGGUUUUGAAUUCUAAGCUAAAAGUCGAGCAUGCUAUUUCAACGUUCUUCAAUAACUAGGAAGAAACCUCCAUGUCUACAAGCAUCCGUAUAGCGAAAGGUCAGAGGCAUUGGUGUUUUUAUGUCGGUAACCAAAUGAUCAAAAGGGUUAACAUAUUUUAUGGUUAAAAAAAACGUUCCAAUAGAGUCUAUAGUUCAAAUGAUUUUUACAAGCCCUAAAACUUUCAGUGUCCAAUUUAUGAUCUGGAAAAAUGCUCCUUUUGUCACCAAAUUUUGAAUCUAGUUUUUAUAUGGUUCCUCAAUUUCAAAUGUUACACCUCACCUAUGAGUUCAGAAUUCAAUUUCUAUGUGUCCCUACAUAAAUCCUAGUUUCCAUAUGAUCCCUAGGUUCCUAGAUUUCAAAAUGUUGCACUUCUGCCCUUGAGUUCUAAAUUUAGUCUCAUUCGGUCUCAGGUCAAUAUUUCAUACUUUUACCCUCCAAUUUUCGUUAAUGCUCAAAUUUGAUCUUCAGUCUUGAAUUUUAACAUUCCGUUAAUUAACUUAAAAUAAUUAUGAUGUAAAUUUUUUUAAUUAAUUUUGAUACUAUGAAAACUUAGUGAAAUUUAAUUUGAAUUAAUUUUUUGGUUUAGAGAAUACAAUCAACAUGUCACUAAGAUAGAGACCAAUUAGAUACAAAAUCAAAAGCCCAUACACCUAGUGAAUACUUCUCAACACUAUGAAUUAUACUGGUUUAUAAUGGUAUUAGAAACUUUUUAGAGUAAAAAUGUCUAAUGGACCCAUCUCAGAAACAACUAAGUUUAAUGACUAAACAUCCUACCUUUAACAAAGAAAGGUAUAAGAAAAAUUGCAAGAGAUUAUUUCUAAGGUGGAAUUCAACAGUAAUGACCCAGAACGUAAACUCACCCGAUCAAGGAAAUAAGUAGCAACUCGUGGGAGCAUUUCUAGUUCGUUCCUUCUACUGUACGUGGCUUGGAAGGCUUCAUCCUUCAACAACUCUUCCACUAAUUGACCAUACACACGUGUAGCAGCCGGGAAUAUGGUGUCAAAGUUCCCUGACACCACGACUUGAAGAAGCAAAUCUGCAAAUCCUUUCAGUUUAGGGCCAAGGGAAUAGAUGUCCUUACGCUCCAACUGAUUUUCAUUCCCUGUAACCACUGAAUAAUGUCAUUUGCUUUGCUCAUUGAACAUCAGAAUAAUAUAGUCAGGAUGAUAUGGUAAUUUAUCUACUGAAAUCUGUCGAAAUAUUUAAUACAAAUGAUCGACUAUCAGGGAAAAGUGAAAAUCAUCUGAAAAUGGAAUUACAACAGACCUGAUGCUGAUGAGCUGGACGGAUCAUUCACUGGUUGUUUAUUUUUCUCAUCCAUCAAAAUCUCUUCUUCGAAACGCUCUCGUCCUUCCAGUAGUAUAGUAAGAUACCAAUACAAGUUCCUUUGAAUCAGUAACUUAAUUGUUUGACGCUCGUCAUCAGAGAAAGGAACUUUAUAUAUUUGUUUGGCCUAAAAUGAAGAAAUGACUACUGGUCAGGAAGUAUAUAGGAUAAGCAUUUCUAUAUCAACAUUAUUCGUUGUACACUAAGGAUGGGAGGUGAAGAAUUGGGUAAAAAUAAGUUCAAAUAAACAUGAGAGACAUAAAGAAGUGGUAUGUAAUGAAUCCCAAGUACAACCAAGAAGGGACCUAACACUCUUAGCACAAUAAUGGUUAAGGGCUUGUCUUUUAUGAAGCAGGCGGCAGGCCCCACUGCAAUGUGCGUUGAGGCUUGAAAUAAAAACCUUUUGGUUUCAAUAUUUGAUUAGGUUGACAAGAGUGUGAAUAUGUGAAGAGGACAGCAGAAAGAAAUCAUAUAUUGGUGACAUAUAUGAACUUUACUAUGAAUUAAAAGCCUUUUCUGCAAGCCAUCUGCUUUCUUGACACAAGACUUUCAGGCAAAUCAAUGAACUUUAUUAUGAAUCGAAAUAUUUAUCAAAACAAUGAUCAAACAAGAACUAAAAUUAAGAUUAACAUCAUAAAUAGUAAGAAUUUUAACACGAUCAUAGGUAGAAGUUUUAAGAAGCAUAAAAUGUAGUACUAUAACUGAAAUUACCUGCUUGAAUAUGGUACUCGUGCCAGAUUUUUUGUGGCCAACAAGGAGAAGUUUAUGAAGUACUUUCUGCUCGUAAGAAACAGAUUUAGCUCCGUCCUCUAUUUCCUCUCCAGUACGAACAGAAUUAGAAGGAAUAGGCAAAGAAUAAAGGGCACAUGCAAGCCUCGUUCUAGUCUGCAGAGAUAGGUGAAUUAGUUGUUCUUGCAAAUUUGAUGUAUAUAAGAUAGAGCAGGAAAAACCAAACUGAACAUCAUCGCAUAAGGUUUACCUUGUCCCAUAUUUUUCCCCCAUUGUUCAUUCCUUCUUCCUGGUAUGAUCCAUCUGCACUAACCCAAAAAGAAGGUCUUCCUUCACAAGGCACUCCAGCCAGCUGCAAGCAACAUGAUCUCAUUUGUGUUAUUUGCGCAUACUUUUAUAUUUCAAUAAAGCUAAACUAAAUACGAACACUGGGUAAAAGAAAACCUUCAGUAUCCGGAGCUCGUUUUUAGUGAUCUCUCGAUUAUUGAUGCACACAUUCGUAUUGCCAUUGCUAGCAUUCCUCUUGAUCCGACCUCCAACUUCUAGCUGGGAGCUAACUAUCUGACUCGGUCCAUGUCCUUCCUGUUCAGUUAAAAACAGAUCAAAAAGUUUCUCAUGGUGCAAAUCGCUUCUUCUACAUGCUCAAAAGAUAAAAUAAUAUCAAUCAAUCAAAGAGAGAGGACCUUUCCCCAGAAGCCUGAUUCUUUGUCAUACCAAUAUUGUCCUGGUUUUAGAUUCUUUGGUGGCUUUCGACAACUUCGCAACGUAAGCAGUUCCUGUCGACUUAAAGGAUCGCCAUUGACGUAGAUAAGUCUUGCUGGUAGUUGGUUUAUUUCACACUCUUUCUCAUGCAACAUUGCGCUCUUAAUUUCAUAGUCAGAAAGCAACCUCUUGAGCACUUUAGAGCUUUUACCCAAGUUCUCCCUUCUUGAUUCAUCAAUCCUAUACCCAAUGCAAGAGAUACACUUCCUUCCUUCUGGCAUUGCUCCCAUUGCUCUGAUUAUACAAUCAAAGCAAUAUUUGGCUCCACAAACAAUGCAUACUUCCUUUUCAGUGAAACGGUUUCCUUUAAGGCAGAAGUAGCAUGAUCCUUUUUUUCCCUUCCUUUCAGCUCGAGGCAUCUCUUGAAUGCUUUCACCCUCAAAUUGACUUGACUCAGCCUCUUCAGAAAUCGUGUUGCUCGUAUGGGGAUCAAGAAAGGUAACAGCUGAUGGCCUUCUGCCAUGCCUACGCGUAGUUUCAUAGUCAACUUCCUCUUCCUCUCUUACAGCAAAAAUUCCAGAAGACGAACUCAAACCCGAUUCUACUGAUUCCGAGUCGCUGGAAUUCGUAUAGCCUUGAAAAUCCUCUUCAUUCUUAAUUUCCAAUGAUUCUACCCCUCCUAUUCUUCCUUUCAGCUCAUUGAAAUUCUCAAGUUCACCAGAACUUUCAACUCCAUCACACGAAUCGAUAUUACAUUUAUCUUCCUUAUUGGCAUGGAGGCAAACAACCCCAUCUUCCUGGAUUUCUGAAGUUGAAGAAAUUACAGAAUUAGGGCUGGAACUUGAACCCUUCUUUAGUUUCUUAACAAUGGGUUGUAUCACAGGCAGAGAUGAUAAAUCAUCACUGAAUUGAGAUGAUGAAAGAACCACAGAAGCCGUUGGAAUAUAAUCAACAUUUAUAGGAACUGCACGAGGAAUCUCGUAACUAAUUCCAGGACCUUUAUACUCCAUGGCAAAAGAAUAUUCACCAGUAAAAUCCACAUGAUUAACAGGAGAAGAAGGCUUCUCGUGAAAAAGUUUUUUAAGAAUCCCAGCCAUAACUCAACAAUUCAACAACACAAAUUUUAACACAACAAAUCUAACGAUUUAAACAAUUACAACCCAACCCCAUCAAGCAUAACCAAUCAAACAAGCCCACAAAACAGAGAAACAAAAGAUCGAUCAAUCAUCAAAUCCAAAUGAUCGAAGAGAAAAAAGCUCCCAGUGGAGGAAAAUAUCGAAAGAAGAAGUUACAAUUGUGAAUUAGUAGGAACCCAUGUUCAAGAAAGUCGAAUCAGAAGACUUUUUGACAGUGGGGUUCAAGGAAAACGAGUGUGCUGUUAAAGAUAAUAAUAAAAAAAAAAAAUGGUGGGAAUGGAAAUGCUAUACUCAGUCAACACAAAGACUAGAGAGAAGACUUUGGAUUAGUAGAAAAAUGGGUUCAAUGGUGGAAAAGAACGCGUUCAAGUAAGAAGAAAACUGACAAGAAAGGGACAUAAAAGAGGAAAUUUAAGAGAGAAAGUGGAAAAGAAGGUAGGUGUUGGUCAUUAUUAUAAUCAAUUACAUUACAAUACGUCAAAUUAGAAAAGCAGAGAAAUUACCAGUCCCUUCCUUCCUUCCUUCCUUCCUUCCUUCCUUACUUCAUUCCACGUUUUUGCUUCCGAUUUGUCUAAGAUGAACUCAAAAUUGAAAGGCAAUUAAGAACAGUCUGCCACUGAGAGAAGGAAAUAUUGCUUUGAAUUUAUUUGUCGUGCCUAACACGAGAGCGGAUGUGUGAGAAAUUUUACCGUAUUCUCCAUAGCUUUAACAAGAAAUCUGUUGUACUGUUGUAACUUUGAGAGAAUUUCUUACAUUUCUUGUUCUUGGUUCUGCAAAGGGUUCCAUGAUUAUUGAAUUCAGUACAUUAUAAUUAAUAUGCAAAGUUUUUAAGACUGAAACAUUACUUUUUUUCUUUUAUAUUUUUAUUAUUUUAUUACAACUCAAUAAAUUUAUAUAUAUAGCAAAACUUCUACCUUUUAUUUUCAUUUUCAUUUCAACUCUUUUUAUUUAUUUUUAACUAUGCUAAAAUCCAAAUAUGGAAACCAUAAAAUAUAAUAUAUAAAUAAAUUAGAUAUGUAAGAAAAUUCAAAUUUCUCUACCUCCUCUCAAUUUCAUUGAUUUAUAUAUGUGUCUCACGAAUCUACUAAAUGUCACUAUUUAUACACAAUUUGGUAGGCAUGAACUAGAUUACAUGACAAUGUGAGUAUCAUCUAGACUUUUGUUAAUGGUGUUGAAUGAUUAAGAAAUUGACAUGUGGUGGACAUCUAUUUAUUUAGUAUUUAUAAUAUUUUUUUUUUCAUUUGUACGACCUUAUAGAAUUAAAUACUUUUUCUUAUUUUAUAUGUUGGAUAUUGAAACUACAUUUCAAACUUAAAUUAAUAAUAAUAAAAAGUUUGAUUAAUUUUCUAAAUUUAUGUUAAAUAUUAAAUAUAUUUUGUUUGAUUUACAAAAUUGAAAAUUUAACAACUUUAGAGAUGCAAAAGGUAUUUGAAUCACUCAAAUAUAAAUUUAAAAUUUAUGACCUUACAUCUUCUUGAGAAGACUUCUAGUUCAUGUUUAUGUUUCAUAAUUAAAAUUAUAAAUUUAAAUUUGAUUCAUUCAAAUCUCUUUUAAAUUUCUAAAUUUGUUAAUUCCUGAAUUUUGUAAAAAACAAUGAUUUACAUAAACUUAGAAAAUUAAAUAAGCAUUUUAUUGUUAAUUGAGAUGUCUAAGGUAGUUCACUGUUAUACAAAUGAUGUACAAAAAAUUAUUUUACUCUUUUAAGAAUGAACUUAUAAAAAAGAAAUGAAAAUAAAAGAAAAACAUUUAUGUAUAUAUAAUUUUAUUAAAUCACAAUAAAAUAAUAAAAAAAAUGGUAGAACACUUAACAAAAUAUUAACCCUUCAUAAAAAAUUGUGUAAUAAUUUAUCAAAUAAAAUUUAUCUUUUUAAUGAUUUUGUGGAUGAAGUGUAAAUAGUUUGAUAAUGGUUUUGUUUUUGAAAAAGAUUCACUAACAAAAGUAUAAAACAAAAUUUAAUGGUUUUUAAUAAAUAAAUAAAAAAUCACUAUUUUUUUUUGCAAAUAGUUUCAUACAUUCGUUUUUUUUUUUUUUUUUGCAAAUGUUUUACAAAACGGCCCUAUUUUAAUACUAAACUCCAAUUCUUAAAAGAAUGCAAACAAAUUUUUUUUAGUUAUUUUAAAAUUUGUUUGAAUAAGAAACACAGGUAUAAACUAAUAAAAAAUUUAGUUACAUGUCCAUUUAACUACUAUUUCUUAAUAUAAUAAAAUAAAGAUAUAUUUUAAAAAUAGCAAAAUAAAUUAAAAUAUUUAUAAGCUAUAGCAAAAUUUUGAAUUCUAUCACUAUAGUCUUCAAUCACUGUAGAAAAUUAAUGACUAUCAGUGAUAGAAUUUGUUAUAGGUUGUAAAUAUUUUGUAAAAUCUUAUACUUUUAGAAAUUCCUCUAAAAUAAACCGAAAUAUUUAUAAAAUAUAACAAACUUUUAAAUUUUAUUAAGAAUAAAUACUUAUAACUUUUAUGGGUGUAUAACAGUUCACUAAUAGAAAUUGAUAGAAAUCUGUAUGUGCUAAUAAUAAAUAGAAUCUAAAAUUUUAUUAUAUUUUGUAAAUAUUUUCAGUAAUUUUAUCCUUUACAAUAAUUUUUUUCUAUUCAAUUUUUAAAUUGUAUAAAUAGCAAUUUUAGUCCAUAAAUUUCUCGACUUUAAUAGUAAAAUGAGAGGCAAAAUAUUCUCCCCUCUUACCUAUUUUAUAUAAAGUACAGAUUUAUAAUUAUCGAUGAACUGAUGAGCAAGAUAAUUUAAAGUAUAAAGUAAAUGCAAAAUAAAUAAACAAAUAUUUAUUUUUACAUCGCGAGCUUUAAAACUUGUUAGAGAAAUAUGGUAGUUUAGAGAAGUCAUAUGAACUUCUUCCGAAUUAAAAUUGAGGCAACGAGAUAAAGUUUAUGUCUCUACAAGAAACAUCUUUACAAACAUUCUAAUAGAUGUGUUGUCUGGGUGCAAUGGUUCUUAUCAUCGUUUAGUGUUUGAUUAAAAUUUUCCUUUUUUUCUUUUUAUAAAUAAGGUGAAAUAAAAAUGAUUCUAAGAAAUAGAGUAGAUAACUGUGGACAUAGCACGUUCUUGAGUUAAUAAAGAAAUUGUUUAUGUAAUACAUGAUUAGGGCCCAAAUUGUGUUUUGCACAUACUAGUACCAAAUGAAUGUCAGUUGCAUGUACGCUCCAUACCAUGUGUACUACAUGUAAGUGAUUAGAGCUUAAAUUGUGUAAGAUUAACAUGACAUGGGUCUAACCUAGACACGUGACAUGGGUCUAACCUAGACACGCAUACUGGCAAUUGUGUCAUAGAACUUGUGUACCAUAUACAUGAGUUCCAUAUGUGGCUUGUGUGCAUGGUAAUACUAUUUUGACAUAUGACUCAUGUAUCAUAUACACAAGUUCAUAGUUCUAAUCACCUCAAAAUAUAACUUAUAAAUAUUUUAAAAAAUACUGAAAUUUGUAUCACUUUCACGUGAGAAAUUGUAAAUUUGACUCACGGAUGACAAUAGAUUGAACAAAUUCACCCAAAUUGAAUUUGAUUUCUCGUGAUCACAAAUAAGUGAAGAAUUACUUGUUUUGAAUAUCCUAUUUUUUCCUGAUUUGAUUUUCUUCCAAAUAAAUAUUUGACUUAAGAUUUAGGGGUAAGUAUGAUAAUAGUCUUCUCUAUCACACCUAAUUUCUUUGUAUGUUUUACAAAGGGAAAAAAGGGUGAGUAUUGCAUGUUCUCAAAUUUGAUUCACAAACAUCAUAAAAGCAUGGUGAAUAUGAGAUUGGUAAUUAAAGGCAUUAAUUACCAUUUUUAGAGGAUGAUGAUAUUUUAUCUCUACAUUUACCAUUCUUCAGCUCAAAAGAAAUUUUAAACGCAUAGUACCAAUUUUAAAUUCACCAUUUAUAAUCAUAAAAGUCAAAUUAACCCAUUUUGGAUGGGAAAAAUAAAGUCUAAGAAAGUUUGAGUAAAAUUCCUCAAAACAAAAAAAACAAAAAAAAAGUUUAGUAAAAUAUGUUAAAGAAAAUAAUAAAAUAAGCAGUAAAAAAUAUAACACUAGUAACUAAAAAAUAGUUUAAAAAAAUAUGGAAAGAUAGAGUUCGGUACUAAAGUUAAGUGUAUAACGACAUAUAUUAUAAACGAUUAAGUAGGAAUUGACAAAAUUUUGUUACACUUGUAAAUUCUACAAAUACUUUAGAUUUGAUUGUUAUAUUUGUAUUGUUUACAAACUAGAGAAAUUGAAAUACAAAUAUUUUUUUAUUUAAUCUCUAUAACCCAUAUUUGGAAUGAUUUUAAAAUCUUCAAAAUCAUUUUUGGUUAUUCUUAAAAUCUAUUUAAAAUAUGUUUUUAAUUAUUUAAAAUUAAUUUAUUAUCAAAUUUCACAUUUUUAAAUAUAUUUUUUACAUACUAAAAUUAGUUUAGAAGAAUUAAAAAUAUAGUCCUAAAUAAUUUUAACUAUUUUAGGAUGAAUCUCAAAUGUGUUAAAAAGAAAAUAUUUUUUUCCAAAUACUAAUUAAUUUGGUUCGAAAAUUUUUAAAAAUAGUCAAGUAAAUUAAAAUAUUUAUAAGUUAUAGCAAAAAUUUUAAUUUUAUCAAUAAUAAAAAUUGAUAGACUUCUAUCACUGUUUGUCAAUGCCACCCAACGAUGGAAGCAUAUCAGUGUCUAUCAUCAAUGUUUACUAUCGAUAGAAUCUAAAAUUUUGCUAUAUGUUAUUAAUAUUUUGUCAAACCUGUUAUUUUUGACAAUUUUCCUUUAUUUUAAAAAACGAAGAAUAACGCAUCCACUAAUGACAACUUAUAACAAGGGGUGCUUGCAAAAAUAGCAAAAAAAAAAAAUUAUGAUAGUAGAGUUCAUGUCACUACAUUUUCUAAAUUGUAAAAGUAGCAAAUUUAAUAAAGUCAAUAACUCUUUGAUAACACUCCUAUAGUCUUUCGCAAUAAUAGUUUGAUAUCAUUAAUUACUUGUCAUAUUCACAAUAUGCAAAAAGAUGUGUCAUUAGCUAUUUUCUCUAAAUAUUUUUUUUUUUUGUCAAUUUUCCUUAUAUAUAUUCACAUUACCUUCAAUGUCAUGAGCGCUCUUAGGUCGGUAGAGGUAUAGUUUUGAAAAUGGUCAUUCCUUUGUUAAUUCUCAAACCAUUAAUUAUAUAUACUUUUAGGAAUUGAAAGAAUUAUUUCAUUUUAAAAACCCAAGCAACCAUCGUCCUUAAUCAAAAGAAUUAACAAUCUUAGAACCUUUUGUUUUGUUUUUUCUUGAGUGAAGUGUGACGUAAUUUUAAUUGGACUAGUUAAUGAGGAUCUUUUUACUAAACAAGAAAAAAAAUGGUACACUUCAAAUUGUCAAAAUCUUUGUCUAAAAUGGAAGAAAAUAAACCCAAAAAAAAGUUAGAAUUCCUCAAGAUUUGCAUAACUACUUGGUCAAAUUAGGUUAGGGGAGAACAAGUAUUUGACAAUUAAAGAAAUUUAAAAUAUAAGAGCAAUAGUUUGUGAAUCAAUUUUCCCAUUUUUCUCUAACUAAUGAGUGAAUUACAAAUAAAGUCAUUGUCAUGUUGAGAUAUGAAUAACUUCCCUUGUAAGUUAAAAGUUUAAAAAUGAUGUCCCUUAAAUAAUUCAUUUCUCAAAAAAAUUAAUUAUUUCAAAUAAUCACCUCAAAAUCAAUAAUAUCAUAUAUAUAUAUAUAUAUAUAUAUAUAUAUAUAUAUAUAUAUAUAUAUAUAUAUAUAUAUAUAUAUAUAUAUAUUAAUAAAAAAAUCAAACACCCUAACGUAUGGAUAUAAUAAGGCGUUAAUUGAUAUGAUCUCUUUUGAGUAUAACUUCAUGGCUUUAUUUUUUGUUUCACUCAAAUGGCAUCAUACCGUUAAAGAUAGUUGUCUACUUACUUAUAUCUCAUUCUUGUUGGGAAAACAGACAUCAUAAGAUCUCAAUAAUUAUAGGAUAUUGUCCACUUUAGCCUCGUGAUUUUAUUAUUUUUCUUUUUGUGUCAACUAAAAGCCAAAUACAGUUAAAGAUAGUUGUUUCCUCAUUUAUAUAUCAUUCUUUAAUGAUCAUCCAAAUAUCUUUACAGGUUUAAUAUAAUAAGGCCAAUAUAGGAUUUUGGGUCAUAGUCCUACAAUUCUCUCCUUGAAUAAAAGGACCAUCAAAAGUCUUCCCUCAAAUAAUCAUCCAUAUGUGUUUACUUCCAAGUAAUCACCUUUAAUUAGGUCAAUUUCUUUUCAUCGGAGUUCAUUCCCUAUGUCAUCAAAUCACAUCAACAUGAUUAAGUGUGAGGGGCAUGAUACUGAUACUAAUUUCUAAGAAGAACGAACCCUCCAACGAGACCUGUAUUUGAAUAGAAGGGUCAUUUUGGAAAAAUAAGAAGCUAAGUAAAGGAUUUUGAAAAAUGAAGGUUUUGAGAAUUUAGGCGUUUUAAUGACUUGGCGUUGAGUGAAAGCAACGUGAGGUGAAGGAAAAGACGGCCAAGAUUAACUGAGUAGUUUGAGGUUCAACACAAGUUGAAGUUAGGCGUUGAGAGUUAGGAAUUUGUUGGGAAAUUUCCUAAUCGUACUUAAUGGGUCACGUGUAAGGGCUUAAGCUAAGGAUGGUUUGAAAAAUUAUUAGACUUACACGUGUAUUACUUUAAGUAGGAGCUGACAAGCUUAAGGAAAAUUAAGGAUGAUUAACCCAAUUUAGGAUUAGUAUAUAAACAGAAAUGAAGAGUUAGUAGAACAGAAGAUUAUGCUUAAAUUCUUAAGGUUGUCGUUAAAAGGAAGACUCACUAUGCGAGAAGAAGGCCAUUUGGGGAACUAGGCAUUCUAAACAAAAGAAAAGCGUGUUGUGAGUGAUUUUCCAAAAAUGUUUAAAUAUUUAAAGCUUUCUACUAAAUUUCCUUAUUGAUUUGUAAUAACAUUCAUAUGAUAAUGUUUACAAAGAAUGAUUUCGAAAGAAAGUUUGUGUUAUGUUUAAAUGAUUGUAUUGUAUGUUAUAUAUGUCUGUAAAAAUUUAGUCUUAUUUCUCUCAAUGAAGCUAACUAUUAUGUACACAUAAGGAGUAAAGGAACCUAUGUAGAAAAUAACUGUAUGUGGAGUGAAAUUGACCAAUGCGUAAAAAGAGUGUAUUGAUCAGCUUGGUGACCUGAGCAACGAGAACUUGAACCAAGAAAAUUUCUAAGGAAUGUUGAUGAUGAAAAGGACGUUACCGUAGUCUAUGUGUGGGAACGGUUCAUGUUCUUGGAAGAAAGGAAUAUGAAAGGCUAGUGAGUGAUUUCUGUUUUAUGAAAAGAGACGAUGAAAACCAUAUUUAUGAAAAUGAUUUCACAUGUUGUCUGCAAAAGAAUUUUCAAAACUAUCACUCACUAAGCUUUGACUUAUGUUUUAAGUUUUUCAUCCCUAAGGUUUCAGACGUUAUGGCUAAGUGUGGAUAAGGAAGGUAAGUUGCUACACGAAGAAGCUAAGCAAGACGUUCUAAGUUUAUUUCAUAGAUUAUCUAUUUAAGAAAGUGUGUAAUAAGUGUAUUUUGAUCACACGCUUAUAAGUAAUAAAGUGAAGUUGUUUUUCUACACUGCGUUAUGAAUUUAUAUAUUUCUUUAUCGCCUAAUAUUUAAGUUUAAGUUCAAUUUAGUUGAGGUUAGGUUACUUGAAUUGCAUUGGGUGAGCAAGCUAAGUUCAACGACUUAAGUUGAGCAUUCUGACGUUUCAUAUACUUGAGGCGUCAUGCCUACUCAAGUCAGGUCGCAUUACGAAGUUAACAAUGGGUGUAGGGUAGGACGUGACACCAACAUAUUCAUAAUUGUAUGAUCGAUAAUAUUUGUUUUGGGUAUAAUCAUCACAAUUUUGGUUUUGAUUUCACCUAAAAGACAUUAUUUCAUUGAAGAUAAUUGUCCUUACUCAUACAACAUAAAUCCUCCCUAUAUCUAGCCAAUGUGAAAAUUUGUUUCGCACUCUAACACCAACAAUGAGACUAAGACCCACACAUUAUACCCAAAAGGCUAAGUCAUCUACAACCAUAUUUUGAAAUGAGUCAUAUGUAAUAAAAUUGAAUAUCCAACAAUGAACCAUGAACAAAAUACCUUUUAUUUCUAAUUUCACAUAGAACUAACAAAAUAGCUCUUGUUAACAACUGGACAACUAUCACGUUGCUCAACUCCACCAUAGUUGUAACAUCAACCUAACAUCUAUAUAUGUGAAAAACACACAUUAUUAACCUGAAGAAUUAAGUUUUCACCAAAGUUAUAGACAAUGUAAACAGUGCAAGCAACACUACAAGAAAAAUGUAAAACACGACUAAGUUGGUAACCCGGUUUAGUGCAAUCACACCUAUAUCUGAGGAGCCUUGAGUCCAAUCGAAAAGACCAUUUAUUGAAAUUCAAAAAAGCUCACAAAUAUAUAGCUUAUCAAGAAUUAUUGUCUUGAUAUACAUAACUUUGACAAGAUCAAAGUACAGACUACCUCUAGACCACCUAAAGCAUGAAUAAGAGCUUUAAUCUAUGCUCCCUUAGAUCAAGUACUCCACGCUUUACCCUUUUGACUUUAUUGCCCAGGCUCUCCUUGGGAGAGACACCUCAUAAUUCACUUAUAAUGUUAGGCUUCCCCUGACGUUUUAAAUCUUUUCAAUCUAGUGUAUUAUAAAGUCGUUAGUAAGGUGUUCAACACCACACACGAGAAUUUCUCAUAAGGAACUCAACGUCAACCUAAAACACCACUUGAAAUAAACAUCAUUGACUCAUGUUUUCCGCCUAUAUAAAACACCACAGUUCACAAGCUCUUGUUUAGAUCAAAGACCAAGAAAAUAACGAAAUCACUUGAAAACUUGAACAUGAAAUUAUACUAAUUUGAAUCCUAGUUAUAAGAAGAUCUUUAUAUUAAUCAAAGAUUCAAACUCUAAUAAUCUUUCCAAAUUUGAAUUUGAUGUCCAAUUGAUCCACAAAGUUUGAGAAAGAAAAGAAGAAAGAGUAUAAUCACUCUAAUAUCUAAAGUUUAGAAAAUAAUUUCAAAUAUUCGUUAAGUUGUUAGUUCAAAGAUGAUUUUGUCAAUAAAAUUUGGUGAGGUAUAUAGGUGUAAUGUAUUUAAUUAUUUUAUAAUAGACUUUAUGAAUUAUAAUUUAACACGUAUGUUAUUUAUAAUAUAUAUAUUUGAUUACAAGUCAUUAGAAAUUAGAAGGUGGAGAAAGCAAUUUCAUUUUUUCAAGUCAUCUUUUUAGUUCUUAUUAAUUAGAAAUUAAAAGAGUAUAUAUAAUAAUAAAUAAAUAAGGACAGCUUUCAAUAUUAAAAAAAAAUGAAUAAAUAAAUAAAAGAAAAGUCGAGAAUGCCACGUGGCUGAAGAAAAGGCAAUAAAAGAAUGUGGGGCCAUCAAUUAUAAGGUCCACGUGGUAUCGUUAAUUUGAUCCAAUCCAUUUCUUUAUUUAUAUAUUUAACAGAAAAAUCCUAUCUGUCUUUCAGUACGCUGCUUCGAAUAUUUCGCUCUUCUUCUUCUUCUUCUUCUUCUUCUUCUUCUUCGUCGGAGAUGGUGAAACCCAACCACUUGAAAAUGGUGACGGAUUCUGACGCUGCCGAUCUCAUUUCCUCUGAUCUCCGGGAACUCGGUAACGCUGCUAGAAAGCUUGCUACACACGCUGUUAAGCUCGGUGCUUCGGGUUUUACUGCUUCUUUUCUCCAAUGGAUUGCUUCCUUUGCUGCUAUGUAUGUUCCCCCCCUCUCUCUCUCUUUUCUGUUUGUUUGAUUUCUGAAUUUUUUUUAUGUUGUUUGUUUGUGGUUCUUCGCUGCUGAUCGGUUAUUUUAGUAGUUUUUUUUUUGCUGUGAGAAAGCUAAUUGGUGAUUUUGAUUCGAGGAAUUGAGUGUUUUUCAAUUGAUUUCUACUUGAUUUUAGUAAUUUGUUUGUUGAUUUAUGUGAUGAAGUGGUUAAGGAGUAUGACUAUGAUUUAGUUAGGGAAAUGAUUCGUGUUACAUUAAGAUAUGUGCUUCUGAGUGUUCUUUUUCGUGUUCCUUAUAUUAAUCUACUUUUAGGUUUUCAUAGAUCGUCUUAAUUUCACUUCGAUUCUUUUUAACUGCAGUUACUUGUUGAUUUUGGAUCGGACGAACUGGAAGACGAAUAUCCUUACUUCAUUGUUGAUUCCGUACAUUUUCUUUAGUCUUCCCGGUGUGAUCUUCGGUUUUUUCAGGUGAUCAUCUCCACUCCAAGCAAUUGCCUUCAAUUGAAGCUUCUGGAUUUGCGUUUUUUUUUUUCUCUUUUUUUUUUUUUUGGCUAAAUUGCUCUCUCUUUGCAGGGGAGAGUUUGGAAAAUGGGUUGCCGUCAUUGCUGUUGUGCUCCGUCUCUUCUUCCCGCGACGAUUUCCAGGUACAUUAGCCUCGACUUGAUUAAUGAUUACACAUUUAUUGAAUUCAUUUUUGGUUAAUAAUAAGUACAGAUUGUGCUAGCUGAUAAGUAUGUUGAUAUAGAUUUAGAGCCAUUAGUCGUUCUGAUCUUCAUUUAGAGAUUUUUGGAUGACUACCGCAAUUACUAGUUUUGAACUUUUGCUUUCUUCCCUUUUAGAUUAACUUUCUAAUUUAUGAACUGCUUGCUUUUGUUUUCUAAUUUGUUCCUUUACUUUUUUAAAAGUAUUUUUUGAAAUCUUAACUAAAUUUGAAAAGAAAUUUUCAGUGGUUUUCUGAAAACUAUGAGUUGCUUAAUUUUAUUUCAGAAACUGUUUGGUAGGAUGAUGUUUAUUUUGUUUUGAAAAAGAUGUUCUUCCUUCCUAUCACACAUGUUCUUGAUUUUUAAACAAUAUGUAAACAGGGAAGCUGUUUUUGAACAUGAUUUUGAAAGACCCAUCUCAUCUAUUUUCAAACUCUUUAAGCAUUGAUGUAAACAAACAAUUCACAAACAAAAACCCAUUAUCAAACCUCUUUGACAUCUUUGAGGUUAUGAAGUUUGACAGGAAGAACUUUAUAGUAAUCAAAAGAUCCAAAACUUUAGUUCAAAUAUAGGAAGUACCUUUAGGCAUUUAGUAUAUCUUCAAAACUUAUUUUCACAUUUGUAUUCCCAGCCCCAAGAUAAUUUGAUUCACCAAAGUUAAAAGGAACAAAUUACAUGUCAAACCUCAUUCAUAAUUAUUCACACUCCAAUCUUACAAGUAAAAGGGAUAUACGUUAGAUUUCAUCUUUAGGAUAUAGAUUUGAGAUUCGAGUUUUGUUUCAAUUUGAUAAUUGACCCUAAUUUUUUAAUUUUCCAUCUUGAAUGUUAAUCUUCAUUAAUUAAUUUCAGAGAAAUGUAAUUAAUUAACACUCAUUAUUAAGUAAUUUAAAAAUGUAAAUAUUAGGGACCAAAUUGGAACUAAACUCAAAACUUAACUAAACUAAGUAAUUAUAAAACAUUACGAAACUCAAAACUUAACUAAACUAAGUAAUUAUAAAACAUUACGAAAUUAGGGACGAAAAUAGUUUUUUUACUUAAAAGUUCAAGUUAAUAAUAGUAAUUUCACAUCACAUAAUUAAGUUACAAUCUAUUAUCCUGUGGAAGUAUAAUUAUUGCAUUCCAUGCUCUGAUUGUGUGGUAAUACAGAUUGGCUUGAAUUGCCUGGAGCUUUGAUACUUCUCAUUGUGGUGGCUCCAAGUUUGUUUGCCAAGACCAUAAGAAACGAUCCCAUCGGAGAAGCAAUCUGUUUGAUCAUAUCAUGCUAUUUACUGCAAGAACACAUCAGAGCCUCUGGUGGAUUCAGAAACUCAUUCACAAAAGCGAAUGGCAUCUCGAACACCAUCGGCAUCAUCCUUCUCUUCGUUUUCCCUGUCUGGGCACUGGUACUCCGUGUUCUUUGAUUGGUUUUUUCUUUUAUUUUCAAAAUGCAAUUAUGCAUUAUUGAUCUUUGCAUUUGUUUGGGAAUGUGGGCUUGUGAGAAUUGUGUUUACCUUUUUUUCUCUUCAAAUUGGGUGUUUGAUUGUCUGAAUGUAGGGGCUGUAUCAGUGUAAAGUUAGAUGAGGAGUUUCUCUCACAAAAGAUUUGUGUAUCAUUUCUUUGAGGGACAAAAUGUGAGAUAAUAUAGAUGUUAUUGUGCUACAAACAGACUUUAUUGCAAAUUAAUAAUAAUAAAUAAUAAAUCUAAAAUUUAAUAAUUAUUAUUAUUAAAAUAUAAUUUGUGGAUUACACAGAUAAUGUAAACUAGAGCAAUGGUUUUACGGUUGUAGAGAUGUUGAAUUUGAAAUUUUGAAAUUUUGAUGUGUAAACAUAUAUCUUAUUAAAAAAGGGUAUAAUUAAAGUGCAGAUUUGGCCCAUCUAUUUAUUUUAUAUAUAAUCUCUCUAUUUAUCAUAUUGUAAAAGAAUAAUGAUUAAUUUUUUUAUAAUAAAAGCAUUGAUGAGUUAUAGCCAAAGUUUUUACCUUUCUUAUGAAAAGAAAUUUAUAUAAGCCUAUUAUUGUCACACCUUAAUAGAAAUGGAUAAAAGUCUAUUAAAAAAAUGUAUAAAACUCUAUUAAAAAAAGGUAAAACUUUUGAAUAAAAAUCUAUUAAAUAAAGGUAAAACUAAUCUUUUAAUAAAGUAGUCUAUAAAAUUGAUAGGAUGUAUCAUUAAUACUAUAAUGGAUAGAAUUAUUGAUUUCUAUUUUUUCUUUUUUAGUUUUAACAUUUUUCGGGUGGAUGAAUAUUUGUCUGAGGAAAAAAAAGAAGAAGAUAUUGAUAUAUAGAUUGAUUGAUAGAGAUGGGCUAAUUUAAGACCACUUGUCUUUGUUGGUGGAUAGCACUCAAGUCAAGGGAAUGUGCCUAUCUAUGUGCUUUAAUUGGGUUAUAGUUGCUACCAAAACAACUUUCUCAACCCAAACUUGAACAACUCUAAGUCACUAUCAAAGUCAAAGAGAAAUAUUCUUAGGAUGUAGUGUAGGAUAUUCGAUUGGAUCUAUGGAGUCCUCCACAUUUCACCCCACACUCAUUUGUGUAGAGGGUGAGGUCGUCUUUUUCUUCACUUCACUGUUCUUCACUAUUCAUUUCUACAAAAUUCUCUAUUUAAUUCUACACGAAAUUGUGGUGGAGAUUCCAUGAAUUGAAAUCUCCGUCAGAAUUUUUUUUCUCGUACUUAAAAAGAAAGUAAUUAACUUAAUAACAAUUAUUGAAAUGAUUGUUUUUAAAUGUAGCAAAAUAGACUAAUAUAUAUAUAAUAUACCAAAUAUUAGUGCCUUUCUAGCGAUAGACAAUUAUAGACAAUAUCGAUCAUUACUUAUCAUUGAUAUACAAUGACAUUUUGCUAUAUUAAAAAUUAUUUUCGGUAAUUUUGUCGUUUAAAAUAAUUAUCCUUACAGAGAAAUUUUAAUCAUAAAGAACUUUUAAAAGUUCACGAACUCAAUUAAUUGUUACUAGAAUGUCAUUGCAACUAGUCUAAUGCUUUAUGAGUAGUUUUACGAUUUCUCUCUUUUUUUAACGAGUUGCAAUUGACAAUUACAAGAAAGCACUAGUUUUGAGAAAUUAAUUUAAAAAAUGUCGAACAGUUUAAUCACCUUUAAACUUCCUAAGAUUUUUGUUACUGCUAUGUGUGUGUGAAAAGUUCAGAUUUAAAGUCACACUUUGACAACUCCAAUAGUAAGUAAUAAAGCUUAUUGUCUGCCAAAUAUAUGUGUUCUUCCACAAAAACAAACACAAAAAUUGACAAAAUCACCACCACUCACUAUUUGCAUCAUAAUAUUCUCUCUUAUUAGAAUUUCAAAAGAAGCUAUAAUAUAAAUUAAAGGAUGGCUUCUUCUAAUAUUUUGUACAACACUAUUUUAAUAUGUAAUAUUAGCUAUUGAAGUUUUCAUUUCUUUGCGUUCUUUGCCUCUUCAUAUAGUUCAUCGAUUUGCUCCUGUAAAUGAAAUGAAACAGAAUAAACUCUCACAUUGCACAUCACUACAUACACUGCCAUCAUACAAUGAGAUAUAUCAGAAGUUGUAUAUAGAUUUUGGACUGCAGUUCAAGGUGAGGUUAACUAUUGUUUGCGAACCCACUUUUUCAGUAGCAUUUUCGAUAAAGAAAAUGUUUUUCAAAGAAUUUUGUGGUGCUUCAUGUCAUAAGACAGGGGAGUAGAUCCACACACGAUCUUUCAUCCAAUCCAAUCCAACUUGAAUUUUAUUAUUAAUUGUUUCUUAUUAAAUUAAAAUAUUUAAAUUUAUAUUUAUAUAACACAGUCUCUAAGACCUCGUUUGGUGAACAUUGUGUUUUUUGUUUUGUUUUUUAAAAUUGAGUUUAUAAACACUACUUCUCCCUACAUUUUCUUUCUUUGCUAUCUACAUUCUACUUAUAAUUUUAAAAACUAAUCCAAAUCUUGAAAGUUAAAAAUAGUAACUUUCAAAAAGUUGUUUUUGGAAUUUGAAAUUUGACUAAGAAUUCAACCAUUGUAAUUAAGCAAAAUGCAAAAUAUUGUAGGACAUAUGAUAGAAAUAGACUUAAUUUUCAAAAGUAAAAAACGAAACAAAAUGAUUACCAAAUAAGACCUAAAUUUUCAUAAAAUAAACAAAUUUUAAACAUCAAAUAUCUCUAUUAUCUAUUACAAAUUUUAAACUAAAACAUCCAUGGAAGAAAAACAUUAAAAUUCCACGAAUUCUAACACUUUAACAAAAUAUGUUAUAUGUUUACUUUUUUUUUUUAGUAUAUAAGUAAUUCAGGUUAGGUUGGAGUUGGACCAACUCAACAAAAAAAUUGAUUAAAUCCAAGACCCAACCUAUUCCAACCAAAAUAAAAAGAAUUACGAAUGGGUUUGGAUAUUCUAAGGCUAAGAAGAAUGGACAUUUCAUAUUAGAGGUCGUAUGGUAUCGAACACUUGGGGGACAUGGAUUCAUCUAGAAAUGUUUGGACAUGUGUCUUAUACACAAAAUUCCGUGUUUUUUUAGAAAAAAAAUUAGACACGUCCAAACACACCCAAUUGUAGUUUUUAGCCAAGAAGGAUCGUUGCAGGGAAAAAGAGAAUUUUCAUAUGGAGGAAGGUUUUUGCUUCAAUAUAAUCGUGUUAGGAACUAAGGUAGUAUGGAAUGCUUUCUUCCCACGUUAAUUAGAAUGGGAUGACGAAUGUAGUAAUUAAGUGGCUUGGCUGGUGUGGUUCUCGAAGUACUUAAAAAUACCCACCAAAUCGCACAUACACGGGUGAAUUCUUCUUCAAUAAUUUAUUCCUAUCAAAUCACAGCCAAUUGGGAAGCAUGCACAUCCUUUUCUUACGUUGGGUGCGUAGAGAAAGAGAAGGGAAACCAAAAUGGAAUGCAAAAAAAUGUCUUUCAUGGUAUGGGUACCUUUUUGAAACACAGCCCUAAUGGCCAAAAAUAAACGUUAACAGGCAGUACACUGAGUUUAGCACUCAAAAAAUAAAGAAGCUCCCAGUAAAAGAGAACAGCAGAAAUGCUGAAGGAACGAAUUUGGAAGUGGGAAAAGUGUACCUUGUAGUAUUUAAGCAGUUGUGGUCUCUUCAACUUAAAUGUUGGAGUUAUCAAAUCCCUCUCCAUGUCAAAGGGAUAUGGUUCCAAAUGAAUUGCUUUUAAUAGCUCAAAUCCUCGAAGCUGCCAAAUAUUUUACCAGAUUAGAUAAAGAAGUAUCUGUAAACAAUAAGAUCCCAACCGAAGUUAAGUAUCUAAAAGAUACUUACAUGGUGCUUUUGACCAUUACUAUUGAGCUCAUCCAAAAUAUACUUCCUUGCUUUGAGGUUCUCACAUAAAGAUUUAAAGUCACCAGUCAUAUUAUGGUUUUGUGCCCAAUCCUCCAAGGCCUUUUGAUCGGGAACCGCCACACCCACAAGAAAUGACUCAAAACUGUUUCCAUAGACCCAAAUCUGUACACCACAGGAAUUGUUUUUUUGCCAUGAGUAAAGGAAAGAUAAAAAUUAAAAUUUUAAAAGUGCACGUACUUCCAAUAUAUAUGAGCAAAAGAAAUGUGACCAUUAGAGAAAGUAUCCAAAUAAAUAAAACUGUCAUCUAAUGUAUCUGAGUUAUGCAAGAAUCAAUUUCUCCUACCGAGGUAAUCAAAGAGCAUUGCAAGAAUAUGUUUUCAAUGUUCUCCACUGCAACAUACUCCCCCUGUGACAGCUUAAAUAUAUUCUUUUUCCGAUCAAUUAUUUUCAUCGAUCCAUCAGGCUGCCAUUCACCGAUGUCCCCUGUAAUGUGUAUACAUGUCAUUUUCUAGUAAAUAGCUAAUCGCAUUUAUAAAACAAAUGUUAAAAUGAUAAGAGUAAACCAUUGAAAUGUAUUUUAUAAUGGUGAAAACGUUAACCUUGAAAUAGGUAACAAGUUGCACACCUAGAGAAAAAUUUCUAGCCUUGCGACAUGAUUAAAUGUGAAUGACCUGGAUUUGCAUAGUGGCUACAUAUAAAAAGUAAACAAAACUUCAAAGGUUUGGGAUCAAAUGGACCGUCUCAAAUUAAGUAGAAAUUCUUUCGAAAGAUGCUAUACGGGAACAGAUGGAAUUAACCCAAAGGAGCUAUUCUGUUCUGGCAACCUUGUUAGUGGAUAGAGAGAGCUUAAAGGAGUUAAGCAAAGAAAGUUAAUAUUUUUGGUGUUCGCCAACCGAAACCUAGUGUUUCAUGUGUUCAUAAAUUCUAAAUUUUAUCAUUUUUCUAUUAUCUUCACUUUUUAAAAAAAGUUCAAAAAUGUUUAAACAAGCAUGAAGCACUACAAUCAGGUUGGCAGUUCAACAAUACUUUUCAAAACAAAUACCAAGCUUGCAUAAAUUUAAUUAAAACCCUCUCUCAAACAGAUGCAAGAUACUUGCAUUGAAGUGACAUAAUCAGUACGAAACACUUCUCUAAAAUAAAUGUGUUUAAACUGAACUUCCUGCUACAUUUGAAACUUAUUUGGCACCUUCAUUCAAUCAACCCAGUUAUGCUAAUUUUUUAUUUGAUGGUACAGAAAAUUGGAAGAAAUUAACUACUUUAAGGAUACAAUUUGCAUAGAUGAUUGCAAGAACAAAAUGGAUAUGAAAACGUAUAUGAAAAUGAGAGAAAUAGAGAAAAAGGAAAAAUUAUGUAGAGAAACUUCCUCCCUUUCGAUCCCAUCUAAUUAUAGUACAGAUUCUAGCAUGUAGUUUUACCUGUAUGAAACCAUCCGUCAAUAAGAACUUCGCCAGUUAGAUCUUGCCGUUUAUGGUAUCCAGAGAACAAGGUACUUCCCCUUAAGCAAAUCUCUCCACGGGGUGUGGUGGCCAGUGCAUCAUACCCCAUAUCAGGAACUGACUCUAGCCUUGCUUCAAUUGUAGUAACUGGAACUCCAACCGUUCCCAUCAUGGUGAAAACAUUGGCUAUGGAUGUAAAACAUCCACCACAACUUUCUGUAAGGCCUAAAAUUGUAAUACGAUACAAGCUCAUUAAAAGAAUUAUUAAUACAUUGUGUUCUUUUCAAAGUUUGAAAUUUUUGCUUCAAUUCCUCCCAAAAAGAGAUAAGAGAGUUUCUCCUUUUUCUUUCACUUAAUGAAAAUAGUCGCUUGUUAAGAAAAAAAUGCAGCUUCUUCAAGAAUGACAUUGCUCAAUGAUAACUAGCACUAAUUUUUUACCGGAGACAAAGACUUCAAUUAUAUUCAGGUGAAUCUACUCUGAUUAGGUAAAAACAAAAUAAAUAGCAUCUUGCAUACCAUAUCCUUGGCUUAGAGUUGCACAACUGGUAACCCUCAGGAACUCUUCCACAUGCCUAGGCAAAGGUGCAGCACCAGAUAAAAAAAGGCGAACUCUCCCACCAAAUGCUUCUUUUAUCUUUCAAAAUAUAACAGCACUUUAAUUAUGUAAAAGAAGCCUUACAUUUAAACGAACCAUACACAAGAUAAAUGACAAACCUUGUCAAAUACAAGCUUGUCCAAGAGAGGUGCUGCUUUUUCCUGGAGCAGACCCUUCUUCAGAUAUCCUAGCUUGCUAUUAGCACUCUGUUUGUAAGUUACACUAUAGGUGAUAAUACAGGUAAUUUAAACCAAUAUAAUAAGUACAGAAUUCAAACGUACUAAAUGUAUGCAUAAUCGAAUAACAUCUUCCGCAAACUGCCUCCAGAAGAAACUUUGUUCAGAAUACCUAUAACAAUAAAGGUUGUGGAAAUUACUUAAACCACGUAAUUUCAAAACAUUAAGUAGUAAUCAAAUUAUGUAGAUAAAACAAGAACAUGUAUUGUACCAGAAUAAAUACGAUCGUAAACUCUAGGAACUCCAGAAAAUAUUGUUGGCUUCAGUUCCUGAAUAUCAUCUAGUAAAAACCUGAUGUCCUGCAAAUUUACACAGAAACAACUACAUAAGUUCAAAACAUAAGGGCAUGAGGUCGUAAAAACAAGAACUUCAACUGAUCAAAAUUACCCCACGCCAAAACCCAAUAGAUGAACCCUUGUAGAUGCAAUAGGUCUCCAUUAUCUGAUCAUACACAUGAGCUAGUGGAAGAAAUGAGAAAUAUGAAUCUUCUUCUGUCGCCUGUAAUGUUACCAUCGUGUAAUUACUACAGUUGUCAUGCAAAAUAUGAGAAAAAUGUGAUAGAACAUUAAUCAAACUACAUCGGCACAUAGUCAUUUAAGAACUCCCACAAUUCCUUCAUCAGGUCAAAAUUUAUAGUUGGCUGCUUACCACUUUAUCUGUCAAUAAAAGUAGGUGCUCCACAGACAAGACUUCGGCCAUUACAGCUGUAUUAUUGAGGAUAACACCUUUUGGUUCCCCUGUGGUUCCACUUGUGUACAUUAUCGUGCAGAUAUCGGUUUUCUGUUUUGAAGGGAGUUCACAGUCCAAGCUUCCCUGGAGCAAAGUAAAAAGAAAAAAAAUAGAUAUGCUGCUAUGGUGCUAAUGAUAAGACAAUAAAUGGUUGAGAAAAAAACGUAUAGUACCAACUGACAGAACUCCUCCCAAGAAAAGCAAGACACUCCCAGUUCUUCAGCUUCCUUCUUAAGUACGCUCGAAACAUUGGUAAAACUGACAAUAGCUGUGAACCAAAAUGAUACACAAUGGUUAGAGUUACAAAUUACAAAACUCUAGAAAGAAAGUGUACUUCAAGUUCUAAACUAAUACAACAUACUUUUUAAUUGAUUUGAACACCUGGGAAGGCAUGAAAAAAUCUGCACAAUGAACAAAAUGGAGGGAACAUUUAGAAUUGGCCGUUAUACAUUUAUACUUCCCGCUGAAAAAAAUGGAGUUUUGUUCAAAAACCAAUUAUAUUUUUUAAAAAUUUCUGUAUCUCAUGCGCGGAAACAACAUACAUUUAAUAAAUAAUUUUUUUUAUUUUUAUAUCGUUUGCCACACCAGGCAAAAGAAAACAAACUAUGUGCAUAUUUUGGCACUUAGCACUCAAAUCCCAGGGCUCUCUAUUGUGCCUCCAUUUUCCAGUUUAAAAUACACUAACACCAAACAUAAAGUCCAUGGAACAACUUAAAUAAUUAGCAAUAUAAAAGGGGUAAGAAUGAUAAGGUUAGCAGCAUGGAGACGUACAGAAGCAAGUUUGUUUUCUUGAACAAAAGCAAUUGAAACUUCAGCGUGGUUAAUGAUGAACUCGACAGCAUUAGCACCUGUAACAGUUUGAUUGUCAAUACAGGAGCUCAAGCUACUAUUCUCUUAUUCUUAAAGUUCAAAAGAUGCCAGAAAGAAAAUGGAACCAUACCAAGCGUGUCAUACAGCGGCACAUAAGUGAUAGCUUGGCUAUUACAGGCCUGUAGGUAACAAAGGGUACAUCAAAUUCUCAAACAUCAGUGUUAAGAGCAGAGGAAAUGAGAGCACUAGCCUAUCAACUUAAACUUUCAGCAUGAUAUCAAAUUCAAAUUUUCCGUAAAUGUCAUAGAAAUAAUACUGUUCCCCCAUUUUAUAUUCAUAGUCUAAUGCUGUCCUGAUAUUUUAGCUAAGGCCCAACAGAAAAUAUAGAAAAAAAUAUUAAAAUAAUUUAGAAGCUCAACUUUUGAAUCAAAUGAUGGUUUUUACUUCAUGAGAGAGAACUUGAAAAGAAAUAACAUGAAAGGAGGGGAAAUGAGCCAACAGUCCAACAGAAUUGGCGGAUUUAGCCCACACAUUGGUCAUUGUCCCCCUAAAUCUCAACCUCAUAUACAUCGUCAAAAACACAAAAUUGCAUACCUCCAUCGAAAUUAUCCAUUCAGGGCAAUUGGAACCAUAUAUACCACAGCGAUCGCCCUAUAAAACCCAAAAAAGGAACCAGUAACAGCAGGAAAAAACAUAAUUCCACUAAGCAUAGUUCCAAUUUAGAACAAUAAUAGAAAAGUAAGAACUUCUAAACACAUCCACUUCACUGAACAACACUUGGACUUACAGAAUUAACCCCACGCUUUCUAAUUGCAGAUCCCAUCCUGAUUGCAGCAUCAUAUGCUUCUUGAUAUGUGAGCCAUACAUAGGAACCCGCCUGCAAAGUUCAAUAAAAAAAAAAAAAAAACAGUUCCAAUAACUCGAUUUCAGCUUUUAGAUUUGAUAUUUGAUUUUCAUCAAGACUCAGAGUUGGCUGGAAAUUGUUACCUUAGAGUCGCCGUUGGUUUGCCGACGACCGAGCAUUGGGUUGCCUGGAUUCCUCUUGACGGAAUCACUGCAAGACACAAAAUCAUAUUGUUGGGCGAUCAAAAAUUCAUAUCAUGGCUAGGAAAUGCGAUCACUUCCUCAAAUGGUGCGUUUGAUUUUAAUCAACUACAGAAUCCAAAUUUGUGUGCACUUAGCACUGAUACUGAUACUGAUACUAAUACUAAUAGUCACUCAUAAACAUUAACUACCCUCACCCUCUCUCUCUAUCUAUUGUUAAUAGAUAUAUAUUCCCACUAAUACAUCCAAGUCUACUAUCAUUUAUUCUCCUAAUACACAAUUAAAUUUUGUUAUAUUUAUAUUUAUCUUUUAAAAUUAUUAUUCUUCUAAUUCUUUUAAUUUGAUUAAUUAAUUAUUAAACAUCACAUUCAAGAUAUGGCUACAAUGUUUUAAAGUUUAGAAAUACAAAUUGAAAUAUAACUCAAAUCUUUUACCAUUUUGGAACUUUUAACACAAAAAUCUACCUUUUAAAUCUGCCAUCAAACUAAAUCUAAAUAAAAAAAACAAAACUAUAAUACUUAAUUAAGUCCAUGAAGGAAAAAAAAGGCCACAACAUGAAACUGUAAUUGUAGACUGAAUUGGAUGUAGUUACUUUUUCAUAUGAAAAUGUCCAAAGAAAAGAAAUGGGAAACCUGAAGAAUUGCCAUGGAGAUUGAAGUUCAUCAGGCAAUUGCAGAAGUCCAUCUUUGGCGUAGAUGCUCCGGUAGACUGGCCCUGCGGAUGGCCUUCCGCCGCUCUGGGGUGUGUCCGCUUCGACGACCACCGUGUACGAUGUCGACAUUGUGAUGAAGAAAGGCGCUGUGUGCUGCAAAAUUGAUGAAAUGGUUUUGAAGAGGUAGCAGUGACUUUAAUACAAUUUGAUCUUUUAAACACACAAGAGAUAUGGGGGUGUUGGGAAGGUUAUUGGUUGGUUGAGCUCAGCUAAAUGCAUUAAAUUCUCAGCAAUACUACACCACCUUUGUCCUCAUACCCUUCAUACUAUUUUCUACAAUCUCUUAUUAAUUUCAUAUCUUUCUUACUUUAAUUAAAUACUUUAUAAGUUACCUUUUACAUAUCAAUUAUUCCAACACUUCCUUUCUUUUUCAAUAUUUGAUAAAUUGAUCGUAGAUUUGGAAUUUGUAUCCAAUUGUUAGUAAAGAAGAGAUGUCCAUUGUAAACAAGGAAAAUAAAUAUAUAUUAUGUUUACUACAUAAAGUGAUAUUCUACCCCUUAUUGUAAGCACACACUUUUAGGUUACUAUACACUUUUAAGUUUAUUUGUUGCAAACUAAAACCAUCUACAAGGUUUUCCUUUUUUUAAAAGAGAAGUUGCAUUAUCCUUAGUUUAUGAGAGAGAUGGAUAGUUGGUCAUUCAUAACUAAUAAACAAAAUUCAUUUGAAAUCUCAUCACUCAAAAAUCAAAAUCAUAAACUUUCAAACACAUUAUAAAAAAAGGACAUAAAAGGCAAAUUGUCAACUUCAAGAUCUCUUUAACGUAUUAUAAAAAUAACUAAGGCCAAAUUGUAAAAAUUUGCCUUUAAAAUACGAUGGUAGUUGUAACUAUAUUUCUAAACUUUCACUGAUAAAAUUUAUCCAAAUUUUAAAAUCUUCCUCCUAAACUUAUGUAUCUGUCUUGAUUAUAUAAGUUUUAAAUAUUCAAAUUUUAUUACUGGUAAGUUGAGUUUUCCAGUAUUAUUAUAAACUUGACAGACUAGUUUGAAGCCUCUUAAAGAAGAGUUGAUAUUGGCUCCUAAUUGGAAAAGAAGAAAAAAGAAAAGGUGGAGUGGGUAAUAGAGUAAGUGUGACAUUAAAUAUAGGUAGAUAUGAUGGUAAAGCGUUGAAAAAUGGGAAUCCCCAAAACCAAUCCCAACUAAUAUAUAAUGUGCAUAUAUUAAUUAACUUCAUCCUUUCCAGCCUCCCCUUUAAUGAACCAUGCCAAACAAAUAUAAAUAUAUAUAUAUAUACACAUACAAAAUUUAAAGCACAUCUCAGUUUUUUUAUCUUCAUUAAAAAGAGACAAAGGUAAUGUUUUUUCAGUAAAGUUCUUUUUUUCUUCUAAACCAACUAAAAGCUUAUAAAGUAGAGGGUAAACAUAAGUUUACGUCCCAUUUAAUGACAACAAAUUUGCACUGCCAACUUUGGUGGCCGCCUCAUUUUCCAUCUAAUGCAAAACCUUGAGUUUUUUUUAGUUUGAUAAUUGAUACAUCUACUUCCUUUCUAUUCUAUUGUAGUAAGCCGUUUAUGUAAACUAAAAUUUUGUAAAUGUUGUCUAACAAGAGACACGAUGCUUUUUAAAACUACGAUACUUUUCUAAUAAGUCUUCAAAUGUUUAGAAAUUUGUAAUGUUUAGGAGAAGAAGAAACACCAUUUAUUUUUAAAUUAUUGAUCUAUUGUUCCAUCGAAUUUUUAAUCUUGCUUUUUAAUAUAGAAGCUAAAUCAUUAUAUAAAAAUCUUAUAAAUUGAAAAGUAUGGAGACUAAACCCUAAUACGUUCAAAUUCUAAAACCAAUAAAGUAUAUACAAGGUGUGAUUUAGUUUAUAUUUUUAAAUCUUUAGAAAAAUAACUAUUUUUAUCCUCUCUUUUUUUCUCUUGUAAGCCAUUGCUGUCAAAUUAUAAUAACAAAUAGUUGAUUUGAUUUUGAUUAUAUAUUAGGAGUAUUUAACAAUAAAAUAAGGAAGACACUUUUUAAUAGUCAAUUUACUAAAAUGGAUCUUAAUUGACCAAAAAUAAAAUAAGCCUAAAUGUAAGAACAAAAGUGAUUUUGUUUUCAAUUUCAACCCUUAAAUCUUUGGGAGGGCUUAGGGUUUUCUUUUUUUCUCACUAAACUAUAUUUUAAUUGAAGUAAAAAUUUAAACAAAAAUAUUAAAUGAUGUAAUUGAUCUAACAUAAAAUAUAUAUUUCCUUCCUUAAACUACUUGUGAAAGAUCAAACAAGUUAAUUAAUAUUCCUAAACUUUUUCGUUCUACACUACAUUGUUUUUUUAUCGAGACCGACAAGAUUUAAAUCUCUAUAAUCUAUAUUUACUUGAAGAAUUUGAAAACGAAAUAGUUUGAUGAGAAGUAUCUAAAAUGUUUUGAAAAUAUUAGUGGUUAUAAAUAAGUUUGAUAGUUCAAGUUAACAAAUUGGCGAUUCAUUUAACUUUAGUUUAACACGUUGUCAUUUUGACUAAAGACCGGAAAGUCUAAUCAAUUGCCUUGUAUAAGUUAGAGACUUAAUUGAUAUAUAAAAUUACAAAUCUAUGUUAUGUUUAUCCGAACGAAUCAUAAUUGAGUAAAAAUCUAAGAUUUUAAUUAGUAUUAUUAAUUUACCGUUUAUCAAUUUAAAAACGCAAUUUGUUUACGCUAUAGAUUUGUUUUAGUGGACUCGACGCGUAAGUAUUUAUUUUUGCAUUGUUUAUAUAAAUAUGUGUUUUAAUUAUAAUAUAUAGUAGUUUGAAAGGGAAGGGACUUUAUAUUGUUGGACAAUCAUUUUACUAGAAGUUAGGUGUUUUAUCCAAAGCAACAGUGAUUUUGGUCAAAGUUAAUUUGUCUUUCUCAACAAAAAAAAAAAAAAAUGGAAAAUUAACUUUUUUUUAAAGAAAAAAAAAAAAGCAAAAGCUACUAAAAUACAAAUCUAUAAAUAUUCUUUUUUCUAGACAAGGUAAAAUUGGACAAAAGGCCAAACUUUUUUCUCAUGAUCUCUCUCAUCAAUGUGAUUGUAAAUAACUAUACCCUAAAACAAAUAUUGGUAACAUCCAAACUCUUGUUUGAAACAUUCCUCUACUAUUCUUGAUAGAUCAUAUUCUAAAAAUACUACAUAUCGUGGUCUUUAACAAAAUGAUUAUUAAAAAUGUGAAUAGAGUUUCAUGUCUUCCAUAAAUUUACUGUUCGAUAUUAUAUAUUUAUAAAUCAUAAAAUAUAUUUUUUUAAAAUAAAAAUAAUUUACAUGAUAUACUUAAUUUUAAACUUUUGACUUUAAAUUAUAUUAAUUCCAAUUUUAUAUCUAGUAGUGUUGUAAAAUGUUGAAUGGAUCAAGUAUCUAUUGCGAAAAGACACAAACUGAAGGUUUAGUAAUUCACUGAACGCUUUUUAAAGUCUAUCAAUCAAAUAGACACAAAUCUAAACGUUUUUAAAAUAACAUUUAAAUAUGGAAUAAGUAUAAAUAAUAAACAAUACCAUACCAACAUUUUGUAUAACAUAAUGAAAAACAAUAGCAAACAAUAAAGUGAACAAUUAAAUGUUAUUGACCAUAACUCGUUAAUAAUUGACGUGCACAUCAAAUCCUCAUACCAAUUACUCAUUGUACUAAAAACAAUAAUAAUUAACCUCCAGUGAGCACGUCUAUUUUUCUUUAUUUUUGGUUUCUUUCUUUUUCUUUUUUUAUGUUUAUUUUUGGUUUCUUUCUUUUUCUUUUUUUAUGUUUAUUUUUGGUUUCUUUCUUUUUCUUUUUUUAUGUUUGAAAAUGUUACAAUUUUAUCUUAAGUUAUUUACGUUAAUUUUCUAUUAAUUAACUUAAAAUAAUGAUUAAAAUUAAAUUGAAUUUCAUUAAUUAUCUAUUGAAUUAAAAACAAUGGAACAAUCAAUAUAUAUCUACAUCAUCAUGAUUGUUUUAGUUUAUUAAAGAAAAAUAAAAGUGUAAAAUUAGAAAAGGUUAUAAACCAAAUAAAAAGUAAACUCAUUGUAUGAGAGAAGGAAUGAAAAUAAAAGUAAGAAUUAAGAAAUUGAUGGGUAGAAAAUGGAAGAUUAGAGGAUAUAAAAAGAGAUUUGAGAAAGAGAGGGAGAGGGAGAGGGGAAAACAACAAUAAAUUGGUAACAAUAAUGCAGCUACCAAAUAUUGAUGUAUAAUAAAUGAGGGAUCAUUAAUUAGUUUCACCUUAUAAUUUUAUAUUUAGUAACAAAUUUAAUGCUAGAUCUUCUUGCAUCACCCAACUGGCCCCUACCACAAUUAUUUUUCUAUAUUUUUCUUUUUUUUACUUUUCUUUUUUUUCAAAAAAAUUAUUGUUGUUGUUUUACAUUUACCACCCUUUGUUCUAAUAAAAAUAUUCAAAACUUUAUUUUUAAAAAAAUAAUUUUAGAUUGGUGUAUAUAUGUUUAUUGGGUCAAUUGGUUAGAACUCAAGGUAGGGUUAGGACUUCUACUUUGGGAUGUAGAUUUCCCUAAGGUCGCCUAGUGGUUUUUCUUCGACUUGAACUUGUCUACACGCUAUCGACCUUAAUUAGCCUCGGACAACCUUGAACAAGUCUUUUAAGUUU
rnacentral:lncRNA from 1 species